UUUUUUUUUUUUUUCUCCAGUCAUCCAUAAUUCUUCUCAAAACCUCAUCCAUAAUUCUUCUCAAAACCUCCAGUCAUCCAUAAUUCUUCUCGUUUUGAAUGAUUGGUACUUCUCUCCAGUCAUCCAUAAUUCUUCUCAAAACCUCCAAUAAUUCUCAAAACCUCCAAUAAUUCUUCUCAAAACCUCCAGUCAUCCAUAAUUCUUCUCGUUUUGACUGAUUGGUACUUCUCUCCAGUCAUCCAUGUACCUGUAAGUCAAUUGAUUCAUGCCAUUUAAAGUUAGGCUGUCGUGUUGAUCCACCGACAAAAAAGUAAGUGCAUCCAGAAACUCUUUAUUUUCUUAUUCUAUCGGGUGAGAAAAAAACCAAUAAAUUAAUUAAAUUGAGAAAAUUAAAUAAUAAAUAGCUGAAAAAAUUUAACCAAUAAAAAAACUGAUUAAACCAAUUAAAAUUUUUUAAAAAAAUUUUAAUUCAAUUCAAUUUUGAUUUUGUACUGUUGAAACCGGUAAAUCCAAACCAGGUUCAUGUUAAAAGAAAAGCAAAGAACAUGAUUUAUAUUCUAACCUAAACCCAAUAACCCUAGCAGUCGCCCCCCCUUAAAGACACAUAGACACGCCUCCUUCCACUUUUUAUUCUUCAAUUUGUAUCUCCACUCUUCAAAUCUAGCAUCUCAGCAAUACUCCCAAACCUCAGCACUUAGCAGGAGUCCAUCUAAGGCUCUAAGCGCUCUUUUUCAGUUCUUCACAAUAAAAUUUCUUUCUCUAUUAUUUUGUAAUUGUGGAUGAGGUUUAUCAGUUGUUUUUUGUCCGUACCUUGAGAAUGCUUCAGAAACAACAAGAUUAUCUUUUUUGGUUAUGCUCCAGUUCAAUAAAUAUUCCUGGGGUAGGUGUGGCUACCACCUCACUACCCUGUAUGUGGGCAUAGAAUAGGGAAAGCACUCCCUGUGCAAGUCAUGGUCGGGGUUGUCAUCCUUACCAAGGAGACAGCUGUCGAGCAACAACCAUAUAAAGCUUUAUUAGCCUCAGCUACCAAGGCUGCAGGUAUAUCUACAAAAGUUGCAGUGAAUUAUACUAAGAGCCUAUUCAAAUAGUUAAUUUCUUGUAAAUAUCUUGGUUGUUUUUUUAGAUGCAAGGCAACAGUGAAGAUGGUGUUGUGAUUAAGUACAUAUUUUAAUGAUAUUGCAUUGCUUAUCUUGGUUUUGAUUUUUUUGGGUUUUUGACAUAAAAAACAGAACCGAAACCGGUUAGUUUGAAUCGGUUUUGGUAUUUUUUUUGUUUUUUUUUUAAUUUUAAUUUGAUUGUUAUUAUAGAUAAAAACCGAACCGAACCGAAAAUGAUCACCCCUACAUCUAACAGUCCACUACAUUACCUUUGUGUUACGAAGAUAACAAUUAUAACAAGAUUACUCACUUUGGUUAACAAACUUUAUAGCCAAUGACUUACUUAUAUAAUUGAUUGACUUUGUUUAUAUAAUCAAAUUUAAUUUUUAAUUAAAAGUUUUGUUUAUUUUUAAUAUUUAUUAAAUAUUUUAUUAAUGAAUGUAGAGUAAAAAUAAAGAUAUCAUGACAAAAAUACUUAAAAGAAAUUAUAAAGUUAUUAUAAUCAUGAUAUUUUUAUUGCAUCAAAGUAUUGUUCAUAAAUACGUUAAUGCUCUACUAAGAUUAAACAUUAAUUAAAGUUAUUGAUAUUGAUACAUAUUAUGUUUUUUUUUUAUAAAAAGAAGCAACUAUUCUUAGAAGCUGAGGUAUGAGAGAUAAUUAAAACUAAUAUAUAGGUGCUUAUCAGAUAACAUGUACACUGAACUCGCUCGUAUGAAAAUUCUAUAUGAAGAGAUCAUUUGUAUCUAUGGAAAAACUUAUAUGAUGAUUGUGUAACUAAUUCUUAGAUUUAAGAUCACUAAGUUAUCUUAUAUAUGAAAUGUUAUGCUUUGAUCCUAUUACAUGUUGUCCUAAUUAAGGGUAACAAAUAGAUAUAUAUUGAGUAUAACAUAAGUAUAUAAAGGUAUUUGAGCAAUAAAUAGAGGAUCCAUUACCCUAAGUGAAUUAAUAAAAAUGUUCAAUUUGUUUUUAAAUAGUAUUAAUUAUAAAUCCUUGCACAAGGUAAAAAGAGCUUUGAAAAACAUUUCAAAUCUUAUUCAAAUAAUCAAUGACUAUGGUGUUGAGAAAAAAAAAUAUAAUUUGACAGAGUAGACACAUUUUAUGUUAUAUUGUCUAAAUUGAAACAUUGUUGAUGAAUGAAUAAUAAUUACACUAAGAAACUGGUCAUUAAAAUAUUAAGUCAAAUCACUUAUGAUUUUAUUAAUAUUUAGGGAAUUAUGACAGGUUGCUAGACAUUGUAUUUCAUCUUCAAAUAUAAUUCAAUCAAUUAUUGAAUUGAUAAUAAAUUAAUUUUUUAUCAAUUAGAAUGAUGAUAACAUGAAUUGUUACUUAAAAUUGUAGUACAUAGAAGGGACUUUGUCAAAUCAAUAAUAUAAAACCGUCAUGACUCGUAUUAGUUCUCUUACUUAGUUAUGAUAAAUGAUGUCAUCAUUGUAUGUAACGUUUUAGCAUUACGCUAUGCGUAUUAUGUUAAUAUAUUUAAUAAAUCAUGAAAAAAGAUAAUGUCAUGUAAGUCAAGUGAGAGAAUGUAAGAUGUGACCCACACAAUGAGAUGAUGGGUUCUUAAAUGGUUUAAUAAAUAUUAAUAUUAAAACUGUAUUGGUCAAUUUUAAAAGUUGUUUUGUAUCAAAUAAUUGCUUACUUGAUAGAUGUGUGAUAUAAAGAGUCUAUUAAAAAAAAACUCAAACUAGUCCUCUCUCUAUCAUAUACUAUAGUUUUAUUUCAUCAAAAAUUUAUGUAGAAGAGUUUGCUAUGAAUCAAGGUACAAAUUCUUUAAAUAUUUAUUUGAAUGUAAAAAUCAUGAAGUUUUAAGAUCAUGGACAUUAUCGUUUUUAUUUGAUUGUUCAUGUUGCAAUCAAAGAAUUGCUUAUAGGGAAAACAAUUAUUUUCUUCUCUCUUCACGAGGUAAGCUGACAUGCUAAUGUGUUAUAAAUCUCUCAAAUCACUAGGUAAACAUUUAGGUAUUGGAAGUUCAUUCAAAAACUUCCCACCAAUUUUUAACAAUCACACACUGCCUAUAUUUUUUAUUCUCCUCCUCUUUUUUGUAAAUUACUUCUCCUAUAUUUAUUGACUUAAACAUCAUAUGGUCUCUUAUUUUGAUAAGGGAUUGAUUGUGCAAUGAAAACCGAGCUUAAGGACAAAACCUACAUUUAAACCGACACACUCUAGUCCAAAAUACAUUCAUGGAAAGCCCAAUCUAGUCUGAAGUUUUCACGACUUCAUCACUGGUUUUCAUUUAUUAUUUAUGAUAGUAAUGAGUUAUGUUAGAAGUAUGUUUAGUAAGAAAAAACUUAAAGUUCUUAUUUUUAAAGUAAGAAAGAAACCUAAGUUAUAAUUCACAAAUCAAAGUUAUUUUUUUAUUUAUGAUUAAAUCAAAAUUCUUACUUAAUUUAUUAUGUCAAAUUUUAUUUUCUAAUUAAAUAUAUUGAUGAUUUUUCAAAAUAAAAAGUUAAAAUUUAACUUUCAAAAUCUAAAAAUCAUAUCGAACAUAACUUAAUUAGGGGCUUAUUGUUAAGUAUUAAGAAGAAUUAACCUCCGUUUAAUACCAUAGUUCAACCUGUUUUUCAAAGUGUUUUCAAAUUAUUUUUCAUCUAAAAAAAAACAUCAAAUUGAUGCUUUUUAGGUCUUUGAUAUAUUUUUUAUAUGUCAGUGUUAAAAAUUUUAAAAUAAUAAUUACAAAACCUAUACUUUAAGGGAUACAAUUUUCUUUUUAUGGUUUGAGGAAUACAAUUUCCUCUUAAAUAUUAGUAACUUCAUUACACUUUACAUCUCAUAUUUUGACUCUAAAAUAAAAGUCAAUUAUUAUUUAUACGUUUGCCAUUAUAGUAAUAUUAAUGACUAAAGUGUCUUUAGUGACAAAAAAAAUAAGAGGAAAAGAUUGUGUUGCCUUCGGCCUUUUAUUGAAAAACUUGUUGUUGCACAUUACAUUACUAUUUAUAAAAAUGCCACUAAAAUCAUGCAUAAUAUAAUAGAUCCAACAACAAUUCUUGAUCAAGGAAAAAACAACUAAAAACAUAAAGUUCACAUAAAAGAUUUAUUCAUCAGUUUCAACCAAAUACAAUAAAUCUCUAGUGUUGUUCACCUUUUUAGCCCAACAAAAAACACCACUGAAACUAUCAUUACUUACACCAAUUUGUAAAAAAAAAUCAAAAACUUUGCAACAAUAAUUCUUCACUACAAGUCAUGCAAACACAUAUUAUCUAAAAUUACCAACUAACAUAUAAAUCCAACACACACACCAAUCCAAUACACAUACCGCCAAAAACAACCAUAAAACUAUCAACACACAAGGUAAAACACAACCCAAAAUUAAUAGCUUAUACAUUUAAAAUUAAUUAAAUGUUAAUAGCCUAAAACUUGCAACAACUUGGAUAGACUAAAGCACAUAAUUUUUAAGGUUAUUAUUUACAGUAACCCUAAUUGAUCAAAUUAGGAGUUUUUAUAUUUUCUUCAUAAGACAUGCAUUACAAGUAUAAAAUCUAAUUUAAACAUUACUACAACACUUAAUAUUAUAACCAUUACCCAUUGAAUUAACAUACAAUAAACACACACACAUGUCAUUCAAUUGGGAUUCACUUAAAAAACUUACCUCUCCAUUGUUUCCAAGAAAAAAAGGUUGAAAAAAAUAACAUUAACAAGAGGUUUUUUGCUCUUGAUACUCAUGCGAAGAGAUUAAGUAUAAAAAAUAAAGACCUUACUUUAGAUUUAAUGUUUCUGUAUGAGUGUGUCGGGUUAUUAGAGAGAAAAAUCAUGUUCGGGAGAGAGAAAUGAGGUUUGUGAGGAAAGUGUGCAAAUUUAUAUUUAUUAUAUACAAGGAAAAAAAUAUUUUUUCAACUAAUUUAACUUGUCCCAUUAACCACGGAGAAAAACCAAAAUUUUUCAAAUCUUAGAAUGAAAAUGAAAAACAGACCAAAGUAUAGAGGUUUUUUGUAAUUAUCCCAAUAAAAUAUCCAAAAAUAUAUCAUUUUAAUAUAUUUUUAAUUAAAAAGUACAUUUACAAAAGUAUCAUGUACCGCAUUACCAAACACACACUCAAUGUCUUAUUGUGAUUUAUGAGUUACAAUGUCUAUAAUUAAUUAUUUAUUAAUUAUGGGUAAAGCUAAGGAUUUCUCUUCCAUGAGUGAAUGAAUGAGAUGUUUUUAUCUCCAUCUUUCCUUCUCUUUUUUUGUUGUUAUUUGAAAUAUUCAAUAACAAGAUUAACAUUAAUGAAUUAUAAAUGCAUGUGUAAACUCUUUGUGUUUGGGCUUUGGCCCGUUUAAGAAAAUAAAAUUCAAGCAAACUAAACAAAUAUUGAUCCCAAACAUUGUGCUUCUAGUAGCAAAACAGAAGAUAUUGUCGUCUUUGAAAGAAAGAAGGAAAAAAAUAAUAUAGUUUAAGCAGCAAGUGAAUAGAUGAUCGAAGAGUGUAGCAGUGAUAUUCUAACUCUGGUAAAAUAGAAUUCAAUUAUAACUGACAAUGAAAAUUAUUUUCCACAAAUACCACUUUUUAUUUCUUUCUAAAAACCCUAACUUACUUCGAUACAAAAUUAGGUCAAAAAAUGGUGGUUGUGCAUCGACUGAUGUUACUAAGUUCAAACUUCAACAUGACUGUUAAGAAUGAGUUUUGGAUUGAUUAUUGUAAGGUAUUCUUAACUUGUUUAUGGUUUUACAAAGAUAUUUGUACUUGGUAUCUGAGAUGGCAAAAAAGCCAACAUGCAAUUGGCUAUAUUACCAUUUAAAUAAAAGAUUGGGCCAAUUUUUCAUGUGACUAAAUAAAAGAUUAGUCAUAGUAAUAGGAUUUCAUGUGAUGGUUCACGAGUAGAUAUGGGUCCGCGCUACACCGUAAAACCAAUGUAUUUCAUAAAAAAUAUGUUCAAGUGUCACAAGCACACUUUAAAAAAAGAAGAAGAUUUGUGCCUCGAGUUAUAGACCUGAACGGAAUAAAUAAGUCGUUUUUAUUUUAAUUAAAUGAUAAAAAAUAGGGUAUGGUAUUAAAUGAAUUUUUUUUUCUUAAAACAAUAUCAUGAUAAUUUGGGAAGAAAAUGUUUUUACCAAAAAAGGAAAAACGAUGCAAAUUAAUUAUUAGUCAAUUAAAUAUGGAAGGACAAAUUUGAGAAAAAUGACAAAAAAAAAAAAACUAACCUGAGUCAAAUAGAGUUAGCAUGACAAACCUAUAACCUAGAUAAUAAAGGACAAGCCAACUCGGGUUAACCUUAAGCUAGCGGUCCAAGUCAUGAGAUUGAGAUAAUCUGAUGGAAAAGAAAAUAAAGGAAAUCACAAAGCCUAUUUUAAAAAAAAACAAUGUUGAAUGAUGAAAUUAGAAAAUAAAAUAAGUUUUUUUAAAAAGAAAUACAUAUGUCAACCCGCUUCACUUUUCAAACCCAUGACCUCGAUCAUUAAAUCAGAAGUACUAUACCUAGUAAAACCACAAAGUUCAAUCCCCAACUAAUCAAAUAUUAAAGAAUGAAAUUGAAAAAAAAACUCAAUUAUACAAAAGAAUCCAAAAUUAAAAAUAACAAUUAAAAGAAUGACGAUCAAAACUGAAAUGAAAAAUAACUCAGAGUACAACUACAAAUCUUUUAUUGAAAAGAGAGAUUGAAAAGAAAAGAGGGGGGAAAAACCCCGUCGGCGACAAACUAUGCCAUUUCUACCACUACACGCUGCCCCAAUAAAAAGAGGACGCUGUGAAAUGGAGUUUUUGGUCGUUAGGAGGCACCAUACUCACCACCAAAAGGAUAUGGGCACCUCUCAUACAUUGGAGUGUGCAUCCCACGAGCCAAUAAAAGACUAAAUUAUCCUCAAUCAACUUGAUAAUAACAAAAAAAAAACAUAAUGAAAAGAUGAAAAAUCCCUUGUCCACAAGCUUUAAAAUUUUUUAAUGUCCUCAAAGCAUUUAGUCUUGAUUUGUUAACAUACUUGUUAGAAAAUGAACUUCGAACCUAUUCCUAGACAAUGUCUUGUCUAGAGGCUUCUUAUUGGAAAAAGGCACUCAACAAUGAAAUUGAGUCCAUUAUAAAUAAUCAUACAUGGGAACUAAUGGAUCUUCCUCUUGGAAAUAAGUCAUUAGGCUAUAAGUGGAUCUUGAAAAGAAAUAUGAAAGCUGAUGGCAAUUUUGAUAGAUAUAUAGCUACACUUGUUGUUAAAGAUUUUAAAUAACAAGAAGGUAUGAAUGAUUUUGACAUAUAUUCACCUGUGUCAAAAAUAAAUUGCAUACAAAUGUUAAUAUCUAUUACAACUAUUAAUAAACUAGAAAUAUAUCAAAUGGAUGUAAAAACAACUUUAUUAAAAUAAUGACCUUUGUGAAGAAAUUUACAUGGAACAAUAUGAGGGGUUUGCUGUCAAUGGACAAGAAAAGAAAGUCUGUAAACAUAUCAAAUCAUUAUAUGGUUUGAAAUAAACACCUAAAAAAUAACAUGAAAAAUUUAACAAGGUUAUGUUCUCAAAUUUAAAAUCAACAAAGUUGAUAUAUUUGUUUAUGUGAAAAACACAGAUAUAGGUUAUGUCAUUGUAUAUUUCUAUAUGAAAGAUAUGCUUAUUUUAGGCAGUAAUGAUCACAUUAUCAAGUCUACUAAGAAAAUAUUGACUAAAUAAGUUUGACAUGAAAAACUUGGGUGUUACAAAUGUCAUACUAGAAAUAAAUAUUUUUAGGACAUCUAAUGAAUUGGUAUUUUCUUAAUCUGGUUAUAUUGAGAAAAUUCUCGAUAAAUGUUUUAAAGGUGACAAUAGUAUUGUGAAAAUACUAAUGGACUUAAUGUCUAUCUGUCCAAAAAUAAAGACAAUGGAAUAAACCAAUUAGAAUAUUCUUGGAUAAUUAAGAGCUUAAUAUCUGUUAUGAAUUGCACAAAACCUGAUAUUGUUUACUUAGUUAGCAAACUGAGUAGAUUUUUAAGUAAUCUAACUAAGGAUCAUUAGGAAGCAAUACAAAGGGUACUAAAAUAUUUGAGGUAUUGAUGCAACCAUAUUAUUCGAUAGUUUCACCUACAUUUAACUAGUGUUUUGCCUAUGUUUUAUAUAUAAAAUGCCUUGAUAUUCUUUGUUUUAUGUUUUGAAGGCACUUUUGGAUGAAAGAUGCAAAAAGGAGUAAAUUGGAGAUAAUUGACAGAUUUGACCUUUAGUCGAUGUUUUGUGCAGAGCGUGAGCUCUAGAGGUUGAAAUGAAGUGAUUCCAGUGGUAUUAAAAAUAUAACACCCAUUCCUUUCUGGAAAUCUAAGGCAAGAAAUAAAAUAAGAAAGAGCAUGGAAAUCACAGCCUUCAAAGUCAAAUCUCGCAAUCUGCCAAUGUUGACCUUCGGUCAUUCCAACUUGAAUAUCUGGAGUUACAGAAGUCCAAUUGAUGCAAACUCAAUUGUUGUGGAUUCAUGACUAAAAUUUCUAUAGACGCUCCAAAUUUCAGCCAAAAACAAUGUCAUAUGAGGGAUAUAUGAUUUUUCAAAGAUGACAUCUGAAUUCUACCAGCAAACAGGUUUCGUGAAGAAACGAGUCCAAAUUACGUUCCAAAGCAUCUAAACCGAUAUCCAAGUUUUUAUUUCAGAAAUUUAGCUCCUCUAAGUCAAAGCUUGAAGAUUUCAUACAAGGCUAUUUCUCCGUUUUUAGGAAAAUAGUUAUUGAAGUACUUAAAUAUAAACAGUCUACUUAAUGGAGGACUAUUUUGUAAAAUAGAGACCUAGGGUUUCCUAGGAUAUAAAAAGAAUGAGAGAAGAGAAGGGGGGCAGCCAGCCAAGAAGAUAAAAACACCCCCUUCCUCUAAGAAAUCCUAAAUUAUGCAUUCUUCCUUCUUUUUUAUUAGUUGUUCAACAAACAUGUAAGGCUAAACACUUUUUCUUGGUUGCAAGGACACGGAAACCUUCGGAUUUCAAGAACUGUGAGAUUUAUUUUACCUUUUCUUUUCAGUUUAUAUGAUGAAUAUGUUUGUUCUCCUAUGCUUAUUUUCCUAUUAUUGUUUAUUUUAAUUGCUAGAGCGGACUCUAAGUUAUUAUUAUAGACAAUCUAUUACUAAGUUUGAUAUCAAAACCGGAGUUGUGGUAUAUGAACUUGUGAAGCAACUGAGUUUAAUAAUUGUGGCGGAUCUACGUUAUUAAUCUUAGGGAGAACAUUCAAUCAAAUCAAACAUAGACUGCAAACAAUUAUGUUUUCUUGAUUAAUCAACUUGUCUAGUUCUUAAGGCUGCCAUUGAAUUAAAUUACUAGUGCGGACACUGUGGUUGUUUGAUGGUUAGGGUUAGUUAUAUGGCGGAUCCAUUAAUUAAUCAAUGUUAAGAAGAGAUAAAUAUUCAGAAUAUAAAUUGAUGUUUCGUUUCCAUGAUCAGUUCUGAUUUCUAUAGGUGGAUGUGUGCUUGCAACCAAGGUUUGUUCUCUUGAUAAUUUUCUGAUUUUAUUAAAUUUUGGUUGAUAGUUUUCUGUUUUCUUUUGCUUUAGCCUAGAUAACAUCCAAACCCCCCCUAAAUUGCAUAUCAUCUAGCAUAAAAAUCUGACUUGAAUCUUCCUCAUGGGAUCGACCCAUUGCUUGCUCUAUCUUAUCUUGUGUGUUGUGUUUGAAGCUAGGGUAAUUAAUUUGUGCAACCGCGACAUCGCAACAGGUAUACCGUUGACUAUAGGCUACACUAUAGUGGUUACCUAGCCGUGUUAAAAUGGUAUAAUUAUGCUAAUUGGAUAUCUAACAAUGAGGAUUCAAAAUCCACAAAUGGAUAUGUCUUCACAUUUGGUGGAUCAACUGUUUCAUGAAAAUUCCCUAAACAAAUAUGUAUCACUAGAUCCAUGAUCAAAUAAAAAUUGAUAAAGGUGUAAAGAAAGCCAGAUGGAUUUAGAAUUUCUUAGAGGAUUUUUCAUGUUGGAUAAAACUAGUGUCAACUAUUUAUAUCCAUUAUGACAGUCAGUCAGCAAUUAGAAUGGCAUAAAGUAUUAUGUAUAAUAGCAAGUGUAGAUAUAUAUGUCGUAGACAUAAUAUCAUUAAACACUUGCUCUUAAAUAAAAUUAUUGCGGAUCCGUUAACCAAAGGUUUGUCAAGAUAUCUUGUGUAUAAUUCAUCAAGGGGAAUAAGCUUAAAGUUUUUUAAAGAUGAAAGAGGGUAAUGAUAGUAAUCAUACCUAGUUGAUUAGAGAUUCCAUGAUCUAGGUUCAAAUGGAAAACUAAGUUAUAUAACAUUCUCAGUAGCGCUAAGAAAUUAUUAUUUUCUAAUUAUUCUUAUGAUGAAAUAAGUGUUGAUUAUAGCGUGAUAAAUAGUGAGCUGAGCUCUUAAUGAUUUUCAUAUCUUAGUACACCAAAUAGAGUAUAGCAAAAUACUUUUAAUGAAAGAUCACCUGUGUGAAUGAGAAAUAUGGUUGUUUAUUUAAGAAUUUUAAUAAAAGCUUAAUUCUCUAAAACACUUAUAAAUUCAGGAGUUAUUUAGGGCCAAAAUGAACACAACACCAAGAACAAAGGAAAUCUAUAGGUAGAAAACUAUAUGAGUACUAUUGUUUUGGUUUACAUAAAAGGUUGAAUAGUUCAAGACAUCUCAUUUACUAUUUAGUCAAGUAAAUCCGAUAGUAUUUCACCAAGGAAGGUUCAAAGCCAAAAGCUACAUAUUCUAAUGUAGUAAUCUACCAAAUCAGUAUCGCUUAACUAAUUUUUAAAUCGUUUUCAAACUGGCUAGACAAUUUCCUUUCAUCUGGGGGAUUGUUGGAAAUUUCUUUUAAAUAAACAAAUUAUAGGUGAAUGAGAAAUUAAUAUCAAAGAACCCUUGGUUUUCCCACUAAAAAUACUCUUGGUUUAUCUUAAUUUAAUUCUUGAUUUAUGGUAGUUAAUCAAUGAUUGAUAAUGGUGGUAAUCAAUUCUUAUUAAUUCUUCAACAUUUUAACUUCUAAAAUUCAAAAUAAAAAAUGAGGGAUGGAGGAAUAGUUUAGUACUUGAAUUUUUUAGAUGUUACUCACUCUUCCUCACCUCAUAUUUUAGUGUUUUAUUCUCAUUUUAUGCUUUAUAUUUUCUCUUAAAUUUAGAGCUUAUAUUUAUAUUGUUGAGAGAUAUUUGAGUUUCAAUUUUUUUUUUCAAAAACCUUUGAUUUAAAAGUGCAUUUAAAUCAAGGUGAUGUUAUUGGAAUCUUGGGAGGCGUAUUGCGUACAUCCUAGUUGCACAAGUGAUAAGCGAAAAAGUCAUAAGGACAAAGGAUUUAUCCUUUAUAACAAUAAAAGAUUCAUUACUUUAAAGUGUUUUAACAAAUAAUUAUUAUUCUUGUUUUAAUUAAAAUAUAGUUGAUUUAAGCUUUUUUGUCUUGAGUUUGUAGAUUUAAACAUGUAUAAAUACUAGUCUUUCCUAGGAUAUUUUUUGUUUAGCAUGUUUUUGUGAUGAUAAACUAUCAAUUCAUACUAAUUAUUUUUUAACAACAAUCUUGUUAUGAUAAACUAAGUAUAUUUGUACAUUAGAUCAAUAAACCAUCGAAUGACAUUCACAGGCAACUUCACCAGGCUCACUGCAAGAUUUGCGAGUCCAGCACAACAAACGCAACAAGGGCUGAGGCAACUCAGCACAGAACUGUCAUCAUCAAAUCAUUCAUUGCCUCAAUGGUUAUUAAUUAACAAUAAUUUCAUCAAAUCUAUUUAAUAAACAGAAAAAAAAAUCGUCAAUAGAUUAAGAGAUUUAUUAACUUGGCAUAAGAUCCAGUUCUAAGGAACCGGGGACAAGGAACAAGUCUAGAUCAGUAGCAAGGAAAAUAUAAUGCAAGAAGCACGAACUAAUUAAAAGGAAAAAGAAAUGAAAGCAAAUUCCUUUUUUUCUGUUCGGGUUGAGGAGAUUAAGAAGAAUUUGAGUAUUCUUAAAUGGUUUAUUUAUAUAUCAAAGAUACAUUGGCAUGAAGUACACAAGAAAUGCAGAGUAUAUUCAUAAAAAAAAUAAAAAAUUAACAACGCAGAUGGGAAUAACCCAAACAACAGCUCCGAUGAGAGACAAAACCAAAGCAAUAAGAGCAAAGGGCAAUCCAAUCAAGAAACCUAAAGGCCUGCAAUCAUCCAUAAUAUAUAAUCUUCUCUUCUCUCUCUCUCUCUUUUUUCUUUUUUUUUUCGUCUACUUUUAUCUUUCUUUCCUCAGGUAUCAACAGCACAGGACAAAUCCCUUUUCUCCAACAAGGAUAUAUUUAGUGUUUGGCGAGAGAAAGGGAUCCAGAGCAAGAAAGGUUAAUUACAAUCAUUAUCUUCCGAAGCAAUUUUUAUUUUUAUAGUAACAUGCAAAUGAGUGCAGGUUGCACGCGGAAACCUUGGGCUCUGUAAGAUUAUUGUUUUUCCAAAACUACCCUAAUAGAAGAAAAAAAAUGUUUUUUCAAAGAGUAACGGGGAUUUUAGGAGUGUUCCUUGAAGAGUGUGAGACUUUUCUUCAAAGUUCAAUUACGCACUCCUGUUGUUCUCGGUACGCUUCCAUGGGCAUCACAAGACGUUUCCAGAUUUAGGACAUGACUUGAUGUCGUGCCCGUGCGAUAUUGCGGGUUUAUGUGUCAUUGUGGAUUUGUGAAAAAAAUAAUAAAAAAAUUAUAUAGAGAAAAAUUAUUGCAAUUCAUAAUAUUUUUUUUAAAAAAACUAUAAAGUUAAAUUCUUAAGCAGCUCAAUAUUAAAAAAAUAAAAUCGACAAAAAUAAUUUAAAAAAAAACGAAAGAGAAACAUUGUAGCAAUCUAUAGUGUUUCAUGAGUAAAUCUACAGUUGUAAUUCUCAACAAGCCCAAUAUUAAAAAUAAUGAAAGGAAAAAAAAAAUGUAGGGAAACACUGUAGCAAUUUAUAGUGUUUCAUGAGGAAUUCUACAGUUGUAAUUCUCAACCACCUCAAUAUUAAAAAUACUAAAAUCGAUAAAGAUAAUUUUGAAAAAAAUCAUAACAAAAAAAAAUCAUGUGGGGAACACUGUAGCAAUCCACAGUGUUUUAAAGAAAAAAACUAUGAAGCUAAAUUCUCAACCAGUUCAAUAUGAAAAAAAUAAAAUCGACAAAGACAAUUCUGGAAAAAAACAAACAAAAAAAAAACAAAAAAAACCAUGUGGGGAAACACUGUAGCAAUCCAUAGUAUUUUAAAGAAAAAAAACUACAAAGCUAAAUUUUCAACCAGCUCCAUAUUAAAAAAAAAAUCAAUAAAAACAAUUCUGAAAAAAAAAACACAAAAAAUUGAAAAAAGAAGAAGAAGAAGACAAUUUUGGAAAAAAAAGCAAAAAAAUUUAAAAAAAUUUAAAAAAACAUGUGGGGAAAGUUAAAGCUGAAUUCUCAACCAGCUCAAUAUUAAAAAAAAAUUUGAUAAAGAUAAUUUUGGAAAAAAAACAUGUGGGGAAACACUAUAGCAAAACAAAAACCAUGUGGGGAAACAUUGUAACAAUCCACAGUGUUUUUUUUUAAAAAAAAACUACGAAGCAAAAUCGACAAAGACUAUUUUGGAAAUAAAAAGAAAAUCAUAAAAAAAAGAAAAAAACCAUGUGGGGAAACACUGUGUAAUCCACAGUGUUUUAAAGAAAAAAACUACAAAGCUAAAAAAUAAAAUCGACAAAGACAAUUCUGAAAAAAAAAAUCAUUUAAAAAAACCAUGUGGGGAAACACUGUAGCAAUCCAUAGUGUUUUAAAGAAAAAAACUAAAAAAUUAAAUUCUCAACCAGCUCAAUAGUAAAAAAAUAAAAUCGACAAAAAUAAUUCUGAAAAUAAAAAGCAAAAAAAGGAGACAAUUUUGAAGAAAAAAAAAACAUAUGGAGAAAGCUAAAGCUCAAUUCUAAACCUGCUCAAUAUUAAAAAAAUAAAUUCGACAAAGUUAAUUUUAAAAAAAAAACAUGUGGGAAAACACUGCAACAAAACAAAAACCAUGUGGGGGAAACACUGUAGCAAAUCCAGAGUGUUAUUUUUGAAAAAACUACGAAGCUAAAUUCUUAACCAGCUCAAUAUGAAAAAAAUAAAAUAGACAAAGACCAGUUUGAAAAAAAAAUGAAAUAAAUCAUAAAAAGAAAAAAAAAACUAUGUAGGGAAAUAUUGUAACAAUCCACAAUGUUUUAAAGAAAAAAACUACAUAGCUAAAUUUUCAACCAGUUCAAUAUUUCAAAAAAAUUGGCAAAGAUAAUUUAAAAAAAAACGAAAACAAAAAAAAUAAAAAGUCAAUUUUGAAAAAAAAAACAUGCAAGAAAAAAGGGGAACAAAAGUAUAAAAAAAAAAAAAAAAAACAUGUGGGGAAAGCUACAAUGCAUGGGGGACACACUGUAGCAAUCCACAGUGUUAUUUUUGAAAAAAAUAAAAAGAUAAAUCCUCAACCAGCUCAAUAUGAAAAAAAUAAAAUCGAUAAAGACCAGUUUGAAAAAAAAAGAAAUAAAUCAUAAAAAGAAAGAAAAAAAACUAUGUAGCGAAAUAUUGUAGCAAUCCACAAUGUUUUAAAGAAAAAAACUACAUAGCUAAAUUUUCAACCAGUUCAAUAUUUAAAAAAAUUGGCAAAGAUAAUUUUAAACAAAAACAAAAAAAAAUUAAAAAAAAAAGAAAAAAAAAGAAGAAGUCAAUUUUGGAAAACAAAAAACAUGUAAAAAAAAAGGGGAACAAAAGCACAAAACAAAUAUGUGGGGAAAGCUACAUUGCGUGGGGGAAACACUAUAGCAAUCCACGGUGUUAUUUUUUAAAAAACUAUGAAACUCAAUUCUCAACCAGCUCAAUAUGAAAAAAAUAAAAUCGAUAAAGACUAGUUUGAAAAAAAAUGAAAUAAAUCAUAAAAAGAAAAAAAAACUAUGUAGGGAAAUAUUGUAGCAAUCCACAAUGUUUUAAAAAAAAACUGCAUAGCUAAAUUUUCAACCAGUUCAAUAUUUAAAAAAAUUGGCAAAGAUAAUUUAAAAAAAACAAAAAAAGAAGAAGUCAAUUUUAGAAAAAAAAAAACAUGUAAAAAAAAAGGGGGAACAAAAGCAAAAAAAAAAAAACAUGUGGGGAAAGCUACUGUGCGUGGUGGAAACACUGUAGCAAUCCACAAUGUUAUUUUUAAAAAAACUACGAAACUAAAUUCUCAACCAGCUCGAUAUAAAAAAAAAAUCGAUAAUUUGAAAAAAAAAGAAAUAAAUCAUAAAAAGAAAAGAAAAAAAACUAUGUAGGGAAAUAUUGUAGCAAUCCACAAUAUUUUAAAGAAAAAACUAAGCUAAAUCUUCAACCAGUUUAAUAUUUAAAAAAAUUAGUAAAGAUAAUUUAAAAAAAAAAGUCAAUUUUUAAAAAAAAAUAUAAAAAAAAACAAAAGCGAAAACAAAAAAAAACAUGUGGGGAAAGCGAUACCCCACGCGUUUUAGAGUUAUUGAUAAAUUAGUCCCCGUGGGCAAUACAAGACCUUUCUGUAAGAAUAAGCAGGGUUUUCCCACGCUUAUUUGUCUUUGCCAUGGGAAGUAUUCACUUGUUUGAUAGAUAAUACGGUUUGAGUGCUAUCCCAUAACGUAUCACCCUAUAUGCAAAUAAAUCCAUCUUUCUCGCUCUACAUUUUGCUGAUGAUCUGAUGAUCUUUAUCAAUGGAGAAUUAAAUGCAAUGAAACACCAUGUACAAGACAUAGAGUACGAAACGCAUGCCACAUCCAAGACACAAAACAAGAAAUGCAACUGGAGCCUAAGAACUAGUGGGCUAGGACGUGCACUCAACUCUUCAUUUGGGCUUAGUCACUCUACAUGAUCGAAAGCUCUACUAGACCCAGGCAGGGAGACACAACUUUCAAGGAGCCUUGUUGGGGUGACAUGACUUCCAAGUAGUCCAAUUGCACGCCAACAAAUCAUCUGGGCUUCAAAUUGGAUUUGGGGUCUUCACCAAGCCGGAUGAGACUUUACAUUCCGUUAUUAAACAAUAUAUUAAAAGGGUUUAAUAGAUCCAUCCUUCUCACUCUACAUUUUGCUGAUGAUCUGAUGAUCUUUAUCAAUGGAGAAUUAAAUGCAAUGAAACACCAUGUACAAGACAUAGAGUACGAAACGCAUGCCACAUCCAAGACACAAAACAAGAAAUGCAACUGGAGCCUAAGAACUAGUGGGCUAGGACGUGCACUCAACUCUUCAUUUGGGCUUAGUCACUCUACAUGAUCGAAAGCUCUACUAGACCCAGGCAGGGAGACACAACUUUCAAGGAGCCUUGUUGGGGUGACAUGACUUCCAAGUAGUCCAAUUGCACGCCAACAAAUCAUCUGGGCUUCAAAUUGGAUUUGGGGUCUUCACCAAGCCGGAUGAGACUUUACAUUCCGUUAUUAAACAAUAUAUUAAAAGGGUUUAAUAGAUCCAUCCUUCUCACUCUACAUUUUGCUGAUGAUCUGAUGAUCUUUAUCAAUGGAGAAUUAAAUGCAAUGAAACACCAUGUACAAGACAUAGAGUACGAAACGCAUGCCACAUCCAAGACACAAAACAAGAAAUGCAACUGGAGCCUAAGAACUAGUGGGCUAGGACGUGCACUCAACUCUUCAUUUGGGCUUAGUCACUCUACAUGAUCGAAAGCUCUACUAGACCCAGGCAGGGAGACACAACUUUCAAGGAGCCUUGUUGGGGUGACAUCAACAAAUCAUUUGGGCUUCAUAUUUGGAUUUGGGGUCUUCACCAAGCCGGGUGAGACUUUACAUUCAAUUAUUAUUCAAUAUACUAAAAGGAUUAAUUAUCCCUCCCACUAUUUACUUAGAUAUAAAUCAUUGUGUAUUAAAGCAGUAUAAUAACAGAGCUACACUUGCCACAAAGAUUUGCAAAGACUAAUAGGGGUGGGGUUGUCUUUUUUUUAUAAUAUAUUUGGCAUUAAAGAAAUGGUUGAGAAGAAAAUGAUCAGUUUUGAUUUUGCCGUUGCAUGGUGAGGCUGUAGGACCUAGGCUGUAGACACCUGGCAUUGGGGCUGUCAUGCCUUGAGCGCCAGGGCCAGACCCGCACGCCUGGCUGCAGACUCAAGCAAACGAGUCUGCAGACCUGCUCGCCUAGGUAGCAAACCAGAGCGACGUGCCUGCGGUCAGUCUGCAGAAGCGCGCGUUGGGUGCAAACUUGCACGCCUGGGUCUGCUGACCCGCGCGGCUGGGUUUGCCUUGGUCUCCUGAUCUGCGCUUGGGGUCUGCAGACCCCCGCAGAGAAGAAUAACAAAUUUAAAAAAAUAUAAUAGCAAUUAUUAUUAAUUAUUGUUAUUAUUAUAAUUAAUAAAUUUGAAAAAAAUAUUAUUACUAUCGAAGAAAAACAAUAAAUUUUAUUUCAAGAGAUUAAAAAUUAUAAAAACUUGGGUCAAACAAGUUUAAUAUUAUUAUUUGUAUUAUAAUAUUAUUAUUUUUAUUAUAGUUAAUAUUAUUAAUAUAAUACUUAAUAAAUUUGAAAAAAUAUUAUUAAUAUUGAAAAACAACCAUAUAUUUGAUUUGAAUGAUAAAAUUAAAAAUUAUUGUUCUUAUUAUUAUUGUUAUUAUCAUUAAUAAAUUUAAAAUAAAAUAUUAUUACUAUCAAAGAAAAACCAUAGAUUUGAUUUGAAGGGUAAAACUAAAAAUUAUUAUCAUCAUCAUCAUCAUCAUCAUCAUUAAUAAAUUUGGUAUAUUAUUGCUAUUUAACAAAAACCAUAAAUUAGAUUUGAAGAGAUUAAAAACUAUAAGAACUUGGGUCAGAUGAAUUUAAUAUCAUUAAUAAUAUUAUAAAUAUUAUUAUAUUCAUUAAUAUUAUUAAAUUUGAAAUAAAUAUUAUUACUAUAAAAAAAAACAUAGAAUUCACUACAAGAUUUCACAGUUUUACCAACAGAAAUAUUCCGUCGGCGUGUGAUUAGCAGUUCGUCGGUGAUUUUUUUACCGACGGAUUACGUCCGUCGGCUUUCCCUUCGUCGGUGAUUCCCCAUUCCGUCGCUAUAUCGGUCGGAAACACAAAAAAAUCAUUUGCCGAUGGUUUUACAGACGGAAUUUGCGCGCCAAAAAAAAGUUUCCUGCUUGAAAUAUACCGACGGAAUAAAAUCCGUCGGUGAUAUCGUGAUUUAUCGACGGCUACGUACUGUCGGUAAAUUUGUCGGUGAGUGUUUGAAAUACCGACCGAAUAUAUCCGUCUGUAAAUUCGUCGGUAAUUGUGGCAGCUACUGUCUAAUUUCAACGGAUUCUAUCCGUCGGUAAAGCUGUCGAUGAGUGUUUGAAAUACCAACCGAAUAUAUCUGUCUGUAAAUGUGUCGGUGAAUGCUAUUAUCAAAUACCGACGGAUUCAUUCCGUCGGUAAAACCCUUUGUAAUAGUUUUUUCUAAAUUUGUUUUUUAAAAAUUAUUUAGAAUAUAUAAUAUAAAAUUAUAUAAAUUAAUGGUAAUAAAAACCAAUUAUGCAAAUAAAAGUUAAAUAAUAUUCAUUACAAAUUGAAUGUGUUUCAAAAAAAAUAUUAAAUGAAAAUUUAAAGGUAAAUAAUGUUUAUUACAAAUUAAUAGAAAGGUGGAGCUGGAGGAGGAGGAGGAGAUCCUGGAGGAGGAGGCUGGUGGUUAUACGGCUAAAAAGGAUUAGGCGCACAUGUUCCACUCUGUGUUGCCAUGUUCAUGACCACUUCGCGAAGCUGUUCAUAAGCCACUUUUUGUUGUGCAGACUCCGCUCUUUGUUGUGCAUGAGACGCUUUGAGUUGUGCGUACUCCGCUGAUAGGUGGUCGUAUUUUUUGGUGAGAUGAGUUGUGCGUUGUUGCAAGGCCAGGAACUCCUUAGAUUGGGAGCUCGAUAUUGAUUGGGAGCUCCGCAAGUUGAAACACUACGGGUCGUCCGCAAGUUGUCGGCCGUAGUGUUGGAGAGCCCGUAAACCCGAUUUUUACCGGGUCCACCUGACGAUCCAACCUCCAUCCACAAAUCCAGAUCGAAUUCCGGAUGGGUCAAAAUAUCGUCCCCGUAUCUCUCCCUCAACCGAUUAUUAUAGGUCUCCUGAAAAUAAAAAAAGUAAUCAUCAUAUUCAAUUCAAUAAACAUAAUAACUUACAAAAAUAAAAUGGUUGAACAAACAUACCACGAAAUGUUGAGCACGGUUAUGUUUGUGAACGCCGAUGAUAUUACUCGGGCGGCUUCAAUUUUGUGAACCUAAAAAUAAAUGAAAUAAAUUCAAUAGUGAUUACUUUAUAAAUUAUGUUGUAAUUUAAAAAAAAAACUAAAACCUUAACAAACUUACAUUGAAAGGUCGUCCUUCCACUGUGCCUCGUACUUGCGGGUAAAUUGAUUCCGCUGCGAAGGCACGCCGCCUCUGCGCUGUGAAGUAGCGCUGGAAGAGGCAGCAUCGGUUGACGGCGCAGGUGGUGUAGGUGCCUCUUCUUGAGAGACACCUAAUGAAAUAUCAUCCUCGCUGCUAGACGAACUAGCUGCGACCAUACAUGAGCGACCAGCUCUAGUUUUCAUUCUACGCAUCAACGCAAAUUUAUACAAAUAAUUAUAUAAUUAAAUUCAAAUGUUAAAAAAAAAUUCUGCAGCACCUCCCCUAUACUAGAUACUACCUAAAUUCACAAACAUGCACAUAUUAACAAUAGCCACAACCAAUUGACCCAAUCUAUACUAAUUAUUCCAACAUAUUCAAUUACUAAUCCUAAGGUAAAUUCAAAUUAAGAAUUACAAUUCAACAAAUUAUUCAAUAAUUAUGCCAAUACAACAAUAAAAUAUAUUCAAUAAAAAAAAAAAACUCUAGACUAACAAUUAAAAUUAAUGGAAAAAAUUAAACAUAAAUCAUGCAAUAAUAGAGUAAAAUUAACAAUUAUUCCAAAAUAUUCAAUUACUAAUACUAAGGUAAACUCACAUUAACAAUUACAAUUCAAAAAAUUAUUCAAUAAUUAUGCCAAUACAACAAAACAAUAAAUUAAAAAAAAACUCUAGACUAUCAAUCAAAAUAAAUGGACAAAAUUAAACACAAAUCAUGCAAUAAUAGAGUAAAAUUAAUAAUUAUUCCAACAUAUUCAAUUACUAACUCUAAGGUAAAUUCAACAUUAACAAUAAAUAUUCAACAAAUUAACUAAUAAUAAUUAUGCCAAUACAACAAUAAAAAAUAUUCAAUAAAUUCAAAAAAAAAAUUAUAGACUUUAGGAAUGAAAUAUUCUUACUUUAAUAAUGUGUUGAAUUCAAUACUUUUCUACAUUACUAAAAAUACACCAAAACAAAAAACAUAACAAAACAAAAAUAGCAAAAAAAAAACCCUGAAAGUAAAAUGAAAUAGAAGAAACACAUACCUUUUAAACUGAUGAAGAAGAUUCACAAGAAAACUUGCUAGAGAUUGUAGGUGAAAGCUUUGAAGAAUGGAGAGGAAAAGAAUCCAAAUUUAAGGUGAAAAACGGAGGAGAAGAAAAAAUGAAUUGAAGGGGCGGUCGCUGGAACUUAUAUGGUAGUUUUACCGACGGAUAUAAAAUUAAUUAUUAUUUUAAUUUAUUCCGUCGAUGAAGUGUCAAAAAUCCAUCGGUAAUUUUUGAAUUUCGCACCAAAAUUUUUAAUGACCCUCCAUAUUUUUCGUGGUCCGUCGGUAAUUCUGUCGGCAAGAUGACGCGGUCAGAGAUGCAUUUAAUGCACAACCCUUUGGAAUUUGCACGGUCCAUCAGUAAUUUUGUCGGUAAUAUUGACCCGCCGACAACUUACCGACGGACAUAUAUCCGUCGGUAUAAACGUCGGUGAUUGUGGCAUUUCAAGUAAUUAUUUUCGAACUCUCUAUGAAAUGCCGAUGGACUAAGCCCGUCGGUAUGUACGUCGGUGAUUGUGGCAUUUCAAGUAAUUAUUUUCGAAUUCUCUGUGAAACGCCGACGGACUUAGUUCGUCGGUAUGUACGUCGGUGAUUGUGGCAUUUCAAGUAAUUAUUUUCAAACUCUCUGUGAAAUGCCGACGGACCUAUUCUGUCGGUAUGGACGUCGGUGAUUGUGGCAUUUCAAGUAAUUAUUUCAAGUAAUGAAUAUUUCAUGUUACAAAAUAUAUCAUCCAUAAUCUAAAUUACAUGAAAAAAAGGGUUUUACACAGGGCUUCAUUUUGAUAGUUAGUCAGAAUUUUCUUCUUCUUCGUUAUCAAUUGAAUAGUCAUCACCUUCAUCGCAAUAUUUAAUAUAGAUAUCAUCUUCUUCAUCGACAUUUGCUUGUCCGCUAGACCUCAAAACAACAUUCAACUCCUCUGCGUCAACAUCAACAAGACUAUCAUCGAAAACAUGAAAAUUUAAAUUUUCUUCCAAUUCAAUCGAAGGAGCAACUCGAUAUGGUUCAACCAACUCACUAACUUGAAAGACUUCAUCUUGCACACUUGUGUCUUCGUUCUCAUCCUGAACAACCUCGACACGACCCCGGGGUUUCGUUUUUAAAACGGACAACCAAUCCACUCUUGAUCGAUCCUUUCUAAAUGAAGGGGUGUAUGUGUAAUAAACUUGUUGACAUUGCUUUGCGAAAACAAAGACAUCGUUUAUGUUGCGGAGUCUAGCUUUUGAGUUGAUUUCGACCAGACCAUAGUGCGAAUCAACUUUGAUUCCUCUGUCAGUCGUAUCAUACCAAUAGCAUUUGAAUAAAAACACUUUAUUCUACUCGUUAUGAUAUUGCAGUUUGACAACCUCUUCUAAUCUACCAUAGUAGUCAACUUCUAACUCACUACUAGUGGAUCCCUUAACACAAACACCGCUGUUGUAUGUCUUUCUUCUUUGCCCGUAUUCUUCAGUAUGGAAAACAUAUCCAUUGACAAAAUACCCGUUAACAAAAUACAUAUACUAAAAAAACAAUAAAAUUGACAUUUAAUUAAAUGUUAAAAUUUAAAAAGAUAGAAUUACUUACAAAAAUUGAUAAAAUCCGUCGGUAAAUCAGAACACGGAUGCUGUGACCACAAAACUUCAAGAAAUAUAUCUUGUUGUGCUGAGAUGAGGGAGAUUUUUGUUUGGGGGGAGGGGGGGCUGGUUGUUUGCAGAUGGGGAGAGUUGGGAUUAGGAAGAAGAAGGAGAAAUAGGGGAGGAGAGGGUCGGCAAAAAGGACAUAUAUUAACUUUUUCUGACGGUUUCACCGAUGGAUUUUCUGUCGGUGAGUCCGUCGGCUAUUUUGACGAAAAAAUCAACACGUCACCGUAUGGAUCUGCCAUUUCGAAUCCCUCGGUGAUUCCAUCAGUAAAAAUAACCCCGCCAAAACCUCCAUGUCAGUGACCAACCUUUUUUUUAAUUCGGAACGUUUUUCGUCCGUAAUUCAAUCGGUAACUACCGACGGACACUUUCAGUCGGUAGUUACCGACUGAAUUACGGACGGAAAAGUUUCCGUCGGUAAUUUCAACCUCAAAUUACCGACAGAAAUAUUCCGUCAGUAAAUCUGUUGCUAUUGAGAGAAUUUCUGGUAGUGAUUGAUUUAAAGGGUAAAAUCAAUUAUUGUUGUUAUUUAUUAUUAUUAUUAUUAUUAUUAUUAUUAUUAUUAUUAUUAUUAUUAUUAUUAUUAUUAUUAUUUUUAUUGACUAGGGUUUGACAUCCUCUUCCAGACUCAAGUAAGUUGAGGCUGGAAAAAUAUUAUUACUAUUGAAGAAAAGCCAUAAACUUGAUUUGAAGUGAUUAAAAACUAUAAGAAUUUGGGGUAGACGAGUUUAUUAUCAUCAUCAUCAUAAUCAAUAAAUUUUUAAAAAAAUAUUAUUACUAUCGAAGAUUCAUUUGUAUUAUUAAAUUUGAAAUUAAUAUUAUUGCUAUGGAAAAAAUAUAUAUAGAUUUGAUUUGAAGGGUAAAAUCAAUUAUUAUUGUUGUUGUUGUUGUUGUUAUUAACUUGGGUCUGACAUCCUUUUUGAGGCCCAAGAAACUUAUAACUGGAAAGGGGCGUCUGACCCAAGUUUGUUGGGUGUGGCAUGGCGCAGGCCCAAGCCCCUUGGAUCUUGUAGUCUGCCUGGCCCAAGGCAAUGGGGUCUGGGGUCCUGGUCCAGUGUUAGUGGGUCUGGUGUCAGGAUUUAAGACACUUGUGUUAGGAAUCUGGACCCAAUGUUAACGGGUCCCACGUCCUACCUAAGGCUACUGGGUCCGGCGUGCAGACCAAGGACUCUAGGGUCCGCGUGAGGACCCAAGACUCUCGGUUCUGGGUUAGGAUCCAAGGCUAAUGGGUGCUAUGUCAAAACCUAAUUCUCUUGGAUCUGGGGUCAAGACUAAAGGUUCUUGAGUAUUAGGUUUAUAAAUAUUAUUAUUUGUAUUAUAGAUAUAAUUAUUUUUAUUAUAAUUAAAAGUAUUAAUAUUAAAAAUAUUAUUAUUUUUAUUAUAAUUAGUAUUAAAUAUAUUAUUAUUAUUAUUAUAAAUAUCGUUAUUUUUAUUAUAAUUAAUAUUAUUAAUAUAAUAAUUAAUACAUUUGAAAAACAAUUAUUAAUAUUGAAAAACAACCAUAAAGUUUUUGAAAAUUUUUGUUAUUUAUUAUUAUUAUUAUUAUUAUUGUUAUUAACUUGAGUUUGGGAUGCCCUUCGAGACCCAAGUAACUUGGGGCUGGAAAGGGGCUCCAGAAUUAAGUUGCUUAGGCUGACAUGGACGCCUAACCCAAGUAACUUGGGUCUUGCAUUCUCGUCUGGCCCAAGGCUAUUGGGUCUGGUAUGGGUCUUAUUAUUAUUAUUAUUAUUAUUAUUAUUAAAUUUUAAAUAAAUAUUAUUAUUAUUAUUGAAGAGAAACCACAAAUUUAAAAACCAGAAGGGAGGGAGUGUUGGAUUCAAUUGUUUUUUUUUCUUUGUUGUUGUGGAUUUAUAGAUGGUGUCUCUUUUCUUAGGCUCUGAUAAUACUUUUGUGUUUGGUUUUUGAGGUUGGCUUGCGCAUCACUUGACAUGGAUUUGUCUCUUGGGUGCCUUCGCAGUGGAGGCUUCCUUUCGCGUGGCUGGAAGCUGUUGUGUUCGGGUGUUUGGCUCAUCUCAAUUGUGUAUCUUGGUAGUAAAGGGUUGCUUUAGUAUGGCAAUAAGCACGUGUAAUUGGUCGUCUGUUUUAUGGAAGAGUUGGUUUGUGUGCAACAAUUUGCAUUAAAUGCACAAUCUACCUGCCAUGUCUUAGCACAGUCGAUGUUCGAGCAUUCAUAGUCUCUGUUAUUUGGAAGGGUGUAUGUGCUAAUUACUUGCCAUGUCCUGGGAAGUUGUGGAUUUGAUAUAUGAUUAGUUUUUGUACAAUAUCUUGAUUUGUUGUGGAUCUGCGUUUGUUUCGUGAUGUCUCAUUUCAGAGAAGGCUGCGAGAUAAGUUUACUGUUUUUGAUGAGAUUUUUUUCUGCUUUGUGAUGUAGUUGGUAAAAUAUUAGGGCAUUUUCUUCUUGUUGUAUUAAACCAGUUGUACUGUUAGAAUGGCUUUUGUACAGUAUUCAUGUUUUAUAUUUUCUUUGACAUAUUAGGUGUGAUUUGGGCUGCUUGUUAUAUAAAGCUUUGCAAUUUUUAUUGUUGUCUAUUGGAGUUGAAUUAGUGGGUUUUAGGUUAGUAUGUUGUUCUUGACAUUUGCUUGUUGUUUAUGUCUUUCUUUUUAGCGCAGGAAGACGUUCUAUGUUCAUAGCUUUGUUACCCUGUCAUUGUCUUUUUUUCUAAUUUGCAUUGGUUUGUCUUCGACUUGAUUUGCUAGGCUAAUUUGUGAUGUUCUUAGUUUUGUUUUGUUUUUUUUUUUUUUGCAUAGGGGUUGGAAUGCUCUUAUUUUGAGGUGUUUGUUUUUUUGUUUGUUCUCAAUGUGUGUGUGUGGGCGUGGGCGUGGGUGUGUGUGUGUCUGUUCAUUUUAUGUUGAUGUUGAUUUUAGUUGAUUGGUUUUUGUUAUUUCUUUUUGGUUUUCAAAAUUGUUAGGUUGAGUGAUGAAGCUUGUUGUAUGGGUUAAUGACUCUGGUGAUUGGUUGUUAGUUUUAGUGGAUUGAGUUGGGUUUUUUUUUUUGAGUUUGCUGAUAAUGAUAUCUAAUUCAAUAGAUGAUUAUUGUUUUAUGUGUUCUGUUUGGAUAAUUAUGCGUCGAUAUUAAUAAUAAAGAAUUGGUUUCUUUUUGCUCUUAUAGAGAUAAAUAAAUAAUAUGUCUUGAUUUUUAUAUUGGUUACUGUGUAUAACCUAUUUGUCGGUUUGCCACGUGCUUUUUUAUUUUAUUUUUAGUUUAUCUUUGCUUGGCACAACUGUGUUGUUUGUCUUUGUUUACACAAUUUGGCUAGCAUUUUUAGAGUGCUUUUUAUUCCAGCAAGGCAAUGUUUUGUUUUGUUUGAAUCUUUUUUUUCAAAUGCUUGAAAAUUUUUUGGUGUUACUAUUGCAUUAUUAUGUCUACUUUUGCAGAUUUUAUAGUGGCCUUUUGUGAUUGCAUAACUGUCUUUUAGGUUUUUAUGUGGUUGGUUGAUCUUUAUAUGCUAUUUGUGUUGUUCUUUGGCUAUGAAAUUAUUGAAGUAUUUUUUCAGUUUGGUACGCUUUCAUUUCCUUAAUUGUUGUGUUGCACUUUUUUUGUUUUCAACAAUAUUUUCUCUACUGAUUCUUUCUUUCUGUUUGUGUUGGAUUUGUGAUGCUUUUCAGGAGUUUGGAGCUCUUCCUAUCCUAUGCUGCUUGCUUUAAUUUGUUUUAUAAAGGUACCUCUUUUGCUUUGCUGGGCAGUGCAGUGUUCUUUGUUGUUGUUUAAAGACUUUUUUGUCUUAGACACUUUUUUUUUCUGCUGGAUAAGUUGGUUUUAUUUGUUUUACAUACUAUAUAGAAUUUUGUUUUUGUUGGUAGUUUGGUUUUUAGUUGCAUGUCUUACUCUUAGCUUAAUUUGUAUCUAAUGCCUAAAUAACGUUUUUAAUAUGAUGUUUGAUGUAAUUGUGUAAUAAAUUGAGAUAGUUUUAUAGGUCUGAACAUAAAACUUAAGCAAUCUUUUUUUAGCUGAUUUUGUGAUCUUAUAUAAUACAACAAACUCUUAUAUUAAAUUUUAAGCCUACUAUUAGGCUAUGGAAAGUUAUAUGUUUUUAUAGAUUUUUUAAUUAAACCUUUUUCACUAUAUUAUUGAACAUCAAAAUCGGGUUAUUUUUUUCUCCAUCCAAAAUCAAAUUACAUUAAUUCUUUAUGAUUUGAGCAUCAUGUUUUUCAUAAUUCACUUUCCUUUUGAUUUUUCGCAACUACUUGCCUUUUUAGAAAUUGUCUACAUAUUUUUAUUUUGACCUUGGAAGGUCAUUUAUGAUAUUUAAAAAAAUAUAUUACUUUUCACUUUUAUGAUCUUUUACUUACACAUUUAUAGCAAUUUAAGUGAUGUAUGGGCCAAUGUUUACAAUGAGUGUUUAAAAUUUCCUAGCAAUGAACGUUUUGCCCAAGUCAAUAAUCUUGCGAUGAGUAUUUUGAUGGAUUGUUUGACUUACAUCUACUUUAAAGUAUCUUUAUUUCAUGAUUGUUUGAUUUGUUGAUGGCUUAUACUGGCAUUUGGAUUCAUUUACUAUUCUUCAAUUCAUUUUUUCAUAGUUUUUUGUUUAGUUUUGUUGCGAUAAAACCAUGGUUGUUGUUUUUUUAUGAGCGGUUGUUUCAGCUUAAACCACUAUGCUAUUACUUUUAAAUGGUAAAUAAAAAAAACCUUCAUUUUUUCAUUUUAAGUUGUAACAAUAUUGUGCGCGCUCCUCAUUUGUUUCCCUUGAAUUAAUAAUAUGAUUUUCAUUUCCCUUUUUUAGACUUUUUUUUUUAAAAUAAUCAAUUCCUUCGUUAUUUUUUUCUACAUAUAGACAAAUAGUUUAAUGAUUAGUCGUCGACAAAGGCUUUAACCGUCACAACACACUGGCACUGGCCUCUCUUUAGCACACAAGUCUAUAACAACUUUUUAUGACAUUGGUUGCCAUCGAAGUAACAAUUAUGAGACUAUUACAAUGCAAGAACAUAUUUCAAUGGAACCUUUCAUGUUUUAUGCAUUUAUGCACAACUAUACAGACAACGAACAUGUUGAUUGUUCGCCACAAUCAAAUACUUCCUAAACUUCACAUCACAGUUCAAUUUCAGAGGUUUCCACAUCCAACUUGCUUGACUCUAGCAAUAGAUAUGCAAUCAAUGAGCAUGCUUUCCCCAUACAAGCAUGAUCCAUCAUCAAAUGACAUUGGCGGGUUGGUUGUUGGAGAUAUUGGUAACUUUCACUCUGAACAUGAUAUUAUCAUUGAACAUAGCUCUGGUUCUUUACAAAGAAUUUCUAAGCUACACCCAAAAUUUAUGUCCUUACAAUAUCCCUUGCUUUUUCCUUACGGUGAUGAUGGAUAUCAAUGUAACAUAAUGUUUGCUGACCAAGAUCACCAGCCACAGGGAAAACAUUCACAAGUUCCAAUGAGAGCAUAUUAUGCUUAUCUGAUUAAUAAAAGGGUAGGAAUUGAAAACACCAUUAUAAAAGUUGGUCGUUUGUAUCAAUAGUUUUUGGUUGAUGCAUUUGUCAAUGUAGAAGAAGAUCGGCUUGAUUAUAUAAGGCCUAAUCAAGGUGAUCUAAUAUCAGGAGUCUAUAAAGGUAUACAUAAAGUAAUACUCAGAGAUGUUGAAAGUAAUGCUGCAAGUAGCCCAAGUUAUAUGAUAAAUAAUUAUCAAGAUGCAAUAGCUAUUUAAAGAGCUUAUAGAAACCCAGAUCUUUUCAUUACAUUUACAUGCAAUAUAAAUUGGUCGGAAAUUCAGAGAGAUCUUAAAAAAAUAGGCUUUACAAGCAAGAAGACAAGCCUGACAUUGUCACAAGAAUUUUUCAAAUAAAAGUAACUGGUAUGAUUGCCUAUAUAAAAUCAAGCAAACCAUUUGGUAGAACAAUUACAGGUGCUUAUAACUUUGUUGUUUGUUGUUCCUCGAGUUAGUAGAUUAUACAUUGAAUGUCAUUUUUAGCCUUUCUUAUCUUUCUUUUUUUACUUUAAAAAAAGAUGUUUGUGCAGUUGAGUUUUUUUAAAAAAAGGAGACUUCCGCACACCCACCUUCUUAUUUGGCUAGAUGCUGAAUUUAAAUUUCGGAAUGCAAAAGAUAUGGAUUAUAUUGUUUCAGCAGAAAUUCCUAACAAGAAUGAUGAUCUCAUUUGUUAUGAUAUUAUAUCAAAGUUUAUGAUGCAUGGGUAAGUGGUCUAGCAAACUAAAAAUUUAAGUGUAUGAAAAAAGGUAAAUGCUCAAAAUCUUUCCCAAAGCUAUUCAAGAGAGCAACAACCUUUGAAGAUAAUGGUUUUGUAUACUGCAAGGGUUGUCAUCAGCACGAUAAUUUCAUCCUUAAAGAUGGAAUACAACUAUACAAUGAAUAUGUUGUCUUAUAUAAUAGAGAGUUAUUAUUGAGAUACAAUGCACACAUCAAUGUUGAGGUUGUUGAAGUUAUGGCACCAAAGCUGAAAUUAAUGUCUCAGCCAUAUGUUAUCUUUCAUUAAUGUUUAUCUAUUAGUAACAUCAUUAUCUUAAUGUUGUUUAGUCAGUUUUUACUUCUUUAGAUAUGAAACUUAUUUAAGAUAAGUUACAUAGCUCCAUAAAUGAAGGAGUUUAUGUUAGUUAUGUUUCUUAAUUGUGUUGUGAUUGAUUUCAUCUAUAAAUAAAAGCUAAGGGAUGGCAGUAACCUACAUGAAAAACAUUCUGCUCUUUGUUCUUUGUUGCAAGUUCUUUGUUCUUUGUUUUUCUGGUUAUCAUCAACAUUCAGUUCUUUAUAUACCGAUUAUCAACAAUUGGUAUCAGAGCAACAUAGGUGUGUUGUCAGUUAAUGCUUUUCAAAUAUCUUUUCAAGUAUGUCAGUAAAGGACCAGAUAGGUGUAGAAUGGAUGUUGAAAAAGAGAAAAACGAUGAGAUUAAGGCCUAUCUUAAUUGUCAUUUUAUCUACCCAUACGAAGCUGUCUGCCGGCUCUUAGAAUUUGCUAUUCAUUCAAGAAAUCCUCCAGUUGAACAUCCGCAGGUUUAUUACACAGAUUUUCCAAACAAAUUUGUUUGGGAUUCCAAGUAGAAGUAGUGGACCGCAAGAGCAAAAGGGUUUAAUCAUGGUUGUCCAACAUAUGUUCAUCCUGCAGCAAGUGAGUUAUAUUUUCUUAGAUUGCUUUUGAAUCAUGUCAAGGGGGCAUUAAGUUUUGAUGACCUUAAAAAUGUUUUUGGAAUUAUGCAUCCUACAUUCCAGCUUGCUUGCAAGUCUUUGGGUCUUUUAGGAGACGAUAAAGAAUGGGCAGAUGCUUUAUGCGAAGCUAUUGCAACAGCAACAUCUCCACAAAUUAGACAAGUUUUUGUUAGUUUGGUUCUUUUCUACGAAGUUGGUGACCCAAAUGGUUUUUUUCUUCAGUUCUGUAGAUCCAUGCAUGAUGAUAUUGUAUGUUGUUUAAGAUCAUCUUUAAACAUGCCAAAUCUUCUAAUGUCUGAUGAUGAACUUAGAAACUAUAUGCUUUAUAAGCUUGAAUUGCUUUUUAAUGCAACAUCAACAUCUCUUGAGAAGCAUAAGCUUCCAAUGCCUGAUGAAAGAUUGCUUAUAGAAAUAAGAAACAGAUUAUUAAGGAAGGAACUUAAUUAUGAUGUUAUCGAUCUUAGAUCACAACAUUCAACAACUUUCCCAUUGCUUAACCAGUGCCAAAGAAAUGUCUAUGAACAUGUUGUUACAACUAUCAUAGAAAGAAAACAAGCUCUAAUAUUUGUUCAUGGACAUGAAAUAACAGGAAAAACUUUUUUAUAGCAUACUAUAAUAAACAAAAUACGGUCUGCAGGUUUAAUUGUCUUUGCAGUUGCUUUACCUGGAAUAGCAUCAUUAUUAUUGCUAGGUGGUCGAACAACGCCCUCACUCUUCAAGAUUCCGCUCACUGUUUUUGAAACCUCAUCAUACGAGAUAAAAAAGAAUAUGGACCUUUCACGUCUUCUUGAAAUGACAUCUCUUAUUAUUUGGGAUGAAGCUCCAAUAAAUAACCGAUGUUGCUUUGAGGUAUUAGAUCGUUCAUUGCAUGAUGAACUUGCAUGCAACGGUCCACACAAUCAAAAUCAACCAUUUGGUGGCAAAUCAAUUUUAUUAGGUGGGGAUUUUAGGCAAAUCUUGCCAGUUAUUCCAAGAGGGACAAGAGAAGAAAUCAUCCAUGCUUAUUUCAGCAGCUCACCACUAUGGCAUAAAUUUAAACUUUUCACACUCAAUGAAAACACGUGACUCCCAUCGGAUGGGCUAAGUGAUACCGAGAAAAAAGAGCUACAGUUGUUUGCCAAAUGGAUUCUUAUGAUUGGUAAUGAAGAAAUAUCUGACAUCCCAUUUGAAGAUGACUAUGAUGCAUCCUUGAUCAAGAUAUCAGCAGAACUGCUUCUGGAUACAAGUUCCAACCCCAUUGCAUCCAUGGUUUCUGCAUUUUACCCUCACAUCAGCAAACCAUCACCUAAAUCCUAUCCAUUUUCAAAAGAGAGCAAUAGUCACACCAAAAAAUGCUAUAAUUUCUGUGAUUAAUGAUUUUAUUCUUGACAUGUCACCAGAAAGUAAGCAUGUUUAUCUAAGCAAUGACAGUGUCUACACAUCAUCAAGCAAUGCUGAGAAUGCUGAUUUAUUGUACUCAGUUGAAUUUAUCAAUCAGCUUGAAUUUAAUAUUGUUCCUUCACAUAAACUUUCCUUGAAAAUAAGAACGACAAUCAUGUUAUUAUAAAAUUUAAAUCCAUCAGCAGGUUUGUGCAAUGGAACGAGGCUUUUAGUUACACAACUGGCCGAGAAAGUCAUUAGAGCGCAAAUAAUAACAGGUUCCAAAAUUGGCAACAAUAUGUUCAUUCCAAGAAUUGUAUUCCAAGUAAAUGAUGGGAAAUGUGCAUACACAAUCAAGAGGAGAUAGUUUCCUAUUCACUUAUGCUAUGCAAUGACGAUAAAUAAAAGCCAAGGGCAAUCAUUAAAAAUUAUUAGAGUUUUUUUUAAAGAUCAAGUUUUCACCCAUGGCCAAUUUUAUGUAGCCCUUUUAAGAGUUACUUUGAAAAAAGGACUCAAGAUAAUCAUGACAAAGAAAAGCCUAUUGACUAUGCAAGGAACAUUGUUUACAAUGAUGUUAUUAACGUUGUCACAAGAGAGUGAUAUAAUAACAUUGGAAAUGCAAAUCAAAAUAUAUUUCCUAAUGAACUCAGUUUAAUCACUCUUUUUCAGGUCUAUCCUUUAAUCUUAAUUUAUUUUAUUUAUUUAUUAUUUGUAUUUUAAAUUUUGCUUAGCACAUUCCAUACAUGAUUAUGCUAUUUAGUAUACCAUUAUCAAUUUUUCAUUCUCGGUUUAUUGCUUUUCCUUAUCAUAUACAUAGUCUUUACCUAACAUUUUUUAAUAUAGGGUCAUGGCUGUACCGAUUAAGGAUAUCAAGAAGUACACCUUUUAUCCAUUGAUGAGAGUACGAGUUUGCCGUGUAUUGAUUGCAAAAUUUCAAAAACAAGUCAGCAGUUUUAAUUGCCUUUUCAUCGACAAUCAAGAAACACGAUGCAAACUAUAUUUUUUAAAAAAUUUAAUUUUUUAUCUUCCCAUUAAUAUUUUUUUUUUCAAGUGAAAUUAACAUUUAAACUAAGAAACCGUUUAGGAACACGAUGCAAAUUAUAUUUUUAAAAAAAUCAAUUUUUUUGUUUUUUCUAAAAUUUAAUAUAGUUUAUAUAUUUUGGAUCGUUUUGAUGUGCUGAUGUUAAAAAUAAUUUUUAAAAAAUAAAAAAACAUCAUUAACAUGUAUUUCGACACGAAAAGUUAUUUGAAAAACAACUAUUACUACACUCUCAAAUACCACCUAAAUGUUAUGUUUACUUUAUUGUUUGUUUUAUAUUGACUCAUGCUUCCUUUUUUUCACAACGCAAAUACAGUCAUCUAUUUCAAAUUCAAUUUUCAUUGCACUUUUAUCUCUUUUUGCAUUAAAUUGCCACUAUUUUUUAAACGGUGGAGCUAUUCAAGGAUCAUCAAAAGCAAGAAAUGUUGCUCAUUUCACUGACGCAAUAGUUUAAGGUCUCUACUAUAUAUGAAGUUAAGGGUCUUUACAUCUAUGAAAACAUAUCAACAAAUAUAGUCAUUGAUAACGACGGGGUUGUCGAACUUAAGUCUAGCGUCAAAACCAAAGCUAUUGAUCCUUUCACUCCUGUCGUGUCAAGAUAUUGUUUCAGGUUCAUUGAAUUUGCACAUGUUCUCUCUCUAGAAAAGGGUUCAAGAGUUCUCACAAGUAUAACAAUGUUACUUUCAUAUUACAUGUAACCUUUACACAACUUUACUUUAUUGUUCGUUAUCCAUGUAUAUCCAUUUAAAACUAACAUCUGCAUUUACUUUUUUUAUUUAGAUGUUCUUGGAAGGCUCAAAGCUGUUCAGUUGUUGGAGCAAGUAUUGGUUCAUGGCCAAACAUUAGAGAACAAGAGGGAAUUUAUUUAUACUUGAAAAUAUAAGGUUCAAUAAAACACUUAAUACGUUUUUUUCUCGAUGUUCUUUUUUAACAUAUUUUCCCAAUCUUAUUGAGAUGCACAUAACUAUAUAGGGUGAUAGCGUGAAGGAUUUUGAUGAUUCUGCUCUUCAAACACUUAAUUCGCCAAUUAUAAUGGCUUUUGCAGCGUGUAAUAGAGUACCGAGGUUUCAAUACAUUAUAUUACCUUAAAACUCCUACUACUUUUUUGUUUGUCAUUAUUUUUAGAAUAUAUUUUCUUACUUGCACAUCUCAUUCCAAUUCCAAAUCUUUCAUCUGUCAGCCAGCCUAAUUUAAAUGGGAUAGCUGCUUCUAUAUGUUACAUUAGAAGUGUUGCCUUACCAUCAUUAGUAGGUUUCUUCCUCAUACUUCAUUUAAAUUUAACUUCUAAUAAUUGUUUUUUUUUUUUGGCUCAUUUACUUGCAUGUCAAUUUUAUCUUGACAGCUUCAACCAGCUACUUAUUGAGUGUCAAAGAACCAUCUCAACCCAAUAGCUUAAGCUGUUAGGUGAGGUUACAGGAUAUGAUUUAUAUUAUUCUCUAACACACCUCCUCAAGUGAAAGCCCUUUGGGCUUGAAACUUGCACAGGCCCACAUUACCUUGUGCUUAAUUUUUAUCAAAUAAAUGGGGAUAGUGAGAUUCGAACUCGAGACCACUUGGUCAUCAAGGCUCUGAUACCAUAUCAAAAAAUCAUCUCAACCUAAUAGCUUAAGCUGUUAGGUAAGGUCUCAGGAUAUGAUUUAUAUUAUAUAUAACAUUGAGGUGUACCGACUUCCUUCAUCCUGCAAUGCUGUUUUGAAAUUAGAAGACCAGAUUCAUGAGAAUAGAAAGACAAUUAGAGAAAUCCUUUGUAUGGAACCAUAUGAGCACAAGUUGAAUAUCUUUCUUGAUAUUCUUUCUUCUUUAAUUUUUUUUAAACUAAACUUCAUGCGUCAUUUAUCAUGUAUAGAAAUUUAUUCAAUCUACUUUUUAUAUGAAACAUGCACUAAAUACAUUUUACCUACACUAUAACAGAAUAUGAGAUUCACAUGUCGUGCAUCCAUUACUGAUUUUGAUAUCUUUAAUGGAUGGUGGUACCCAAGUUGUCCUCAUUGCAACAAAAAACUUGGCGACCCUGCUAAGAAUCCAGUUUGCAUAGAUCAUGAUGCAAUAACAUCUUUUCCUCUGCCAUGGUAAAUCUUUCAAAAAAAAAAUAAUUCAUGAUCCAUACACACACGUACGGUGGCAUGUUUUCAAAUGUAUUAACUUUCAUAUAUCCUUUUUACAAUUUUCAUGUAUUUUUAAAGAUAAUGUUUUUCCUAAAAAUGUAUGUUUCAGUGAAGUUUAAUUAAUAUACAUUAUUUUUUGGAUUGUUGUUACUUUGUUUGCGUAAUAAGAUAGGUAAAUACAAAUAAUAGAAAGAGAAGAGAAAUAAUUUAGGGAGCCAAAUUGGAGUCAAGUAUGAAAAGGGGUCUAAAAUGAUUAAGGACUAAAAAAUAGUGGAAUACUAUGCAAAAACAAAUAUGAAAAAUAGAUAAGAAUUUAAAUAAAAUUGGAAAAUUGUAGGAAAGGUAUCAUGCAUGCACAUUAAAAAAAAAUUAAUUAAUUAGAAAUCAACAAAUCAAUAAGGAAACAAUAUAAAAUUCCCUAGCAAUAUUUUUUUCCAGCUUAGUUUUUCCUAUUAUAAAUAGUUUUAACAUUUGGUUGAGCUUUAGAUGUAGCUAGAUGUGCGAGAAUGGCUAGAAUGAGCCUAAUGGAGACGAAUGUAAGAACUGGUCUACGAACCUCAUAAUGGAUUCCCUCCUUUUAUGUAAAGCCCUUAGUCACAUAUACCUUUCAAUAGAUCUGAACCUAUUUGUCAUGCUGCAAUCUUAGAAUAUGUUGUUUCUUCACAUUCGUUCUUAACCGUUUGGUUAGGGGUUUCUUUUAUCUGUUUUUUUUAUAAAAAAAACAAUGAAAAUACUACCAUGUCUUUGGCGGGUGGGGGGAUAUGCAUGUGUUGAGGGACUUUUUACGAUUCAGAUAUAAAAUUAUUAAUUAUUUUUAAAAAAAUAUUUUUAUUAUUAAAAAACUUAAAUUUAAACUCAUGUUCUCUUGGACUUGGCAAUCAUCCAAGUCCAAGGUACUAAGACUUUGCAGUUGACCAAGUCCAAGGUAUAAAUAUUAUUACGCUACCUUGGACUUCGCUGUUUGUCAAGUCUAUGUGUAGUGGGUCCAGCAUGCGUGCUAGACCCACGAUACCCUGGACUUGGUUGCCUACUAAGUCUAGGAGUUCUUUGGACUUGGCCAAUAGCCAAGUCCAUGUACCGUGAACUUGGAGUCUAAGUGUAGUGAAUUCGGCAUUCGCACUGGAUCUAUGCUACCUUAGACUUGACCACUGCCAAGUUCAAGUGUAGUGAUUUCAACAUAUGUGGUGGAUCUACACUAUCUUGGACUUGAUUCGCUCAAAAAACAUUGAUUUGAUUUUAAGAUUAAAAUCAAUUAUUAUUCUUAUUAUUACUACUACUCCCACUAGUACUAUUACUACUACUACUAUUACUACUACCACUAAUCAAUUUUUAUUAUUACUACCACCACAACCACCAUCACUACUAAUCUAUUAUUAUUAUUAUUAUUAUUAGUAAAAAAAAUAAAAAUAAAAAACUAUUAUUACUAUUGAAGAAAAACCAUAAAUUGUUUUUUAAAAAGAUUAAAAAAUAUAAGAACUUGGACAGACAAGAUAAAUAUUAUUAUUAAUAUUAUAAAUAUUUACUGUUGAGUCUAGUGUUGUAGUCAGACCCAACGCUCUUGGGUCUUAGAUUUUUUUGAUAUUAUUUAUGAAAAUAAAAGGUUGACCCGCAGUGCAGUGGGGGCCACCUAAUUAGUACAUGUCUAGAAGACGUCCGAUACUGAACAUAAGAGCUUGACCCGAAGAUGUUCACCCCCCUCUCUGUGAAGUUACUAAUCAACAUGAAAGGGGUGUUUAGGAGUGUAAUAACGGUUGUUUUUCAAAGUUUUUUUUUCUCGGAAAUACGUUAAAAUAAUAUUUCUUAUUUUUUACAUAAAUACAUCAAAAUAAUUGGAAAACACCAAAAUAAUUAAUUUGAAAUAAAGAAAAAAAAUAAAAAUAAUGUAAUUUUUUUAAAAAAAUAUUUUUGAAAUAUAAAACCAAACGAAUUCUCAAAUAUCUUCCUAUCAUAAUUGGAUGCUCAAGACAAUUUUAGGCAUGUUUAUAUAUAUCUAGUGAAUAAUUCACAUGACAAAAUCACACCACUAACCAUGGCCUUGUCGUUCCUCUAUGCGGAGUGGGAUGGAGAAUCUUUUAUGGAAGGAGUGACACGGUUGUCGGUGAAAGCAUGAUUUGUAGACGACAAACUAAUGUGUCAAUCAAUGUGUAAUAAAAGUCUAAUACAAUCGUUGCCAAACUAAUGUGUUAAUCAAUGUGUACUUUCUACUAUUCUUAAUAAUUACAUAGACAUGGAAAGUGUCACUGGAGACUUCAGGAUGAAGCUACGAGUAAAAGAAAAAUAAAUCCGUUUAUGAUAAUUAGAAAUUUUAAUUGUUCUUUAGAUAUUUUAGGUAAAAAAAAUUAAUUAUGUUAAAGAAAAGAUUAAGAUUAUGCUAAAAUACUUUAAAUAAAAUAAUUUUUUUCGUGUUUGUUUUUAAUAAUAAAAUAUUUAAUUGCAUGUACAUUCUAAGAUUUUUAUCUAAAUUUAUAUCUGUAUAUUAUUAAAAAUAAAAUAAAAAAUUAUCAAAACCUAAUGCAGUAAUUUAGGAUCCAUGCCUAACUACAUCAUCUAAUCUUUAAUUUUGGAAUACGUGUAUUGGAUCCAAAUAAAUGAUAAUUGUUAAUACAUUCGUAAAUAGGCUUACAUCAACAGAAAAAUCAUAUAAUAAAAAAAUUAUUAUUUAUUUUUUGUGUUUUUUUAAAGUAAAAAGCCGUGUAUUAAUAAUUUAUAUUAUCUAUUUGCCAAUAUUCUUAAAUAAUAAUUAAAUGAUUCAUUUAUUCGAGGUAGGCUUUACAGAUAACAAAAAAAUUAUUACACGAUAAAAUUAUGGAAAACAAAAGAAAGAAGUCAUAAUUGUUUUUUACUUCUAGGUUUUUCAUGUAUUUUUAAAGAUAAUGUUUUUCCUGAAAAAUGUAUGUUUCAGUGAAGUUUAAUUAAUAUACAUUAUUUUUUGGAUUGUUGUUACUUUGUUUGCGUAAUAAGAUAGGUAAAUACAAAUAAUAAAAAGAAAAUAAAAAUAAUUUAGGGAGCCAAAUUGGAGUCAAGUAUGAAAAGGGGUCUAAAAUGAUUAAGGACUAAAAAAUAGUGGAAGACUAUGCAAAAACAAAUAUGAAAUAUAGUUAAGAAAUUAAACAAAAUUGGAAAAAUGUAGGAAAGGUAUCAUGCACAUUAAAAAAAAAUUAAUUAAUUAGAAAUCAACAAAUCAAUAAGGAAACAAUAUAAAAUACCUUAGCAAUAUUUUUUUCCCAGUUUAGUUUUUUCUAUUUUUGGAGGAUCUAAACAAUAUAUAUAGCGGGAAGUUGUAGAUAGAUAUCAAGGGCCAUUUGGUUAAAAGCUAAAAUUUAAAAAAAAAAACUAAUUUACUUAAAACUAAUUUUUUAAGUGUUUUGGGAUUGUUUUGAUGUAUUGAUAUUAAAAAUAAAUUUUAAAAAAAUAAUGAUAAAAAAUAUUAUUUUAAUACAUUUCUGAGUAAAAAGAAUUUUGAAAUACAACUUCUAUCAUAUUAUAGAAUGUAUAUAUAGGAAAUAUUAUAGGCACUACUCUAGUAUUGUAAUCUCUAUCUUUGUUAUUAUAUAUUGCUCUACACAUAUAAUUAGAAAAUGAUUGACUAACUAAAGGUCAAGUCUCCUCCUUUAUCUCAUAAUGGAAAAAAUAUAAUUUGUAUUCAUCUCAGUAACUUUAAUUAAUAUUUAAUCUAAGUAAAGCAUUAACUAUGAAUAUUUAUAAACAAUACUUUAAUGCAAUAAAAAUAUUAUAAUUAUAAUAAUUUUAUAAUUUUUUUUAAAGUAUUUUUAUCAUGAAAAAGUAUCGAAAGGUAACAUAGUGGAUAUUUUGAUGGAGUAUAAAAAAUAAAUAGUUUUGGUAUACAUUUACUUUUUUUUUUUUGUCUCUCAUUGUUGUAUCUGUCAAUCAACACGACAACCCAACUUUAAGGUUCCAUUUGUUUCACGGAAAGUAGUUUUCUGGAAACUACUUUUCAAACUUUCAUGUGUUUGUUUAUCAUUAAGAAAACUGGUCAACGAAAAACACUUUCCAGUUAAAGAAAAAUUUAGCUUGGGUUCCAGGAAAGUGUUUUCAUUUUAUUUUGGGCGGAAAACACUUUCAAAAUGUUGUGAAAAAUUUAGAAAUAUCAUAUUAUUUGCUAAUUAUAUAAAAUUUGAUCCUCAAACUUUUUAUUGCUAUAUAUUUUGUUUUGAAUCUUUUUUUUUUAAUUUUAUCCAUUAAAAUUUGAUUUUUAUAUUAACUUUGGUCCUUAUUUUUAUGAUUGUUAUUUACUUUUUUUAUUAUUUUUUAAUUGAAAUUUUUUUUCUAUCAAUUUUGAUCCUAAUUCUUUUAAUUGUUACUUAUUUUAUUUGAAAUAAUUUAUGAAAUUAGAAUUAUUAUUAUUUUAAUUUCAUCAUCUUUUAAUUUUUUAUCUGUUAGAUUUUAUCUCCAUUAUUUUGAUUGUUAUUUAUUUUAUUUGAGAUAAUUUAUAAAAUUAUAUUAUUUUUUUUAAUUUCAUUCUCAUUCAACUUUUUAAUUUGUAAGAUUUGUUUCUUGUUAUUUUAAUAAACUUGAAAAAAAAAAUAUUAAUAAAUUAUUUUCCAGAUUAUUUUUUAUGACAUAACUAAACAAUGAAAAAUAUUUUUCAAUUUUCAUGAGAUUACCAAAUAUCAAAUAUCAUUUCAAGAAUUUAUUUUUAACCAAAAAAAAAUAGUUACAUGGAUCACCAGAUAGAAGUACCAAUUAAUCAGUCAAAACGAGAAGAAGAACAUCAUGAUAAGGAGCAGGCUCAGCUAUUUUCCUUCUGUUUUUUUCCUGGCACAGAAAUGGCUCAUUUCGAUCAAUCUGAAAACUAUUGGUUGCCGAGUUCUAUUAAAGGAGCAAGAGCUGAAACGAAAAAAACAUAUCCCACCCUCAAUCUCUCUCUCUCUCUCUCUCUAGCUAUCUCUAUGGCAUCACCGAACUCUGUAAAGAUACUUGAUAUCUGCGAAGUGGCUGCCGCUUAUGACUCUACCAAGUCAGCCACCGAAACAAUACUCUCUCCUACUUUUUUUGAACUGUCAGGUCUCAGAUUUCCUCCAUCUGACUGCCUCUGCUUCUUCAAACUUACUGAUUCAAACCCUACCUUCUUUCACUCUGUAAUUUUCCCCAGUCUCAAACAAUCACUUUCCCAUGCACUCCUCCACUUCCUCCCUAUCGUCGGCAGCCUAACAUGGCCCCCUGAAUCCUCCAGACCCAUCUUUGUUUACCAUCCUAAAAACGAUUCCGUUUCAGUUACCCUUGCCGAGUGUAAUGGUGAUUUCGAUCGCCUUAUAGGCAAUGGAAUCCAUGAAGCUGUUGAAUCGCAUCCUCAUGCUCCCCAAUUGGUCGCAACUGACACUAGGUCGCCAUUAUUGGCUUUACAAGUAACAUUAUUUCCUAACAAAGGCUUUUGCAUUGGUAUGGAAACGCACCAUGCAAUAUUUGACGGGAAAAGCGCAUCUAUGUUCCUCAGAGCCUGGGCUUAUACAUGCAAAUAUAUUGUCGAAAAAGGUGAAGCCCCACGUUUAUUGCCAGAAGAAAUCACCCCCAGUUUUGAAUGGAAAAGUAUCCAAGACUCAAAAGGGUUGGAGGAGAAGUACAUUAACUUGUGGGCGACCAUAGGGAAACGGUUAGAAUCAGGUUCAGACUCGAACCCAAAAAGUGUGAAGCCGUUGACGAAACUUGAAGUGCAACCUAACUUGCUUCGAGCAAACUUUCAUUUAUCUAGUGAAGCCAUUAAGAAGCUUAGAGAAAGUGUGUUGCGUUAUCACCCGGAAGCAACAGACCCUACAAAACGACUUCAUCUCUCCACUUAUGUUCUGGCAUGCUCUUAUGUAUUGAUCUGUCUUGUCAAAGCAAGAGGAGGAGAUGCCGACAGAGAGGUUUAUUUUGCGUGGUCAGUGGAUUGUAGAAGUCGUUUAGACCCUCCUCUUCCACCAAAUCAUUUUGGUGACACUGUUGUGGCUCGUCACAUAGUUUCUAAAGCCGGAGAUUUUAUGCAGGAAAAUGGAUUAGCUAUUAUAGCCGAGAAGCUUAGCGCUUCCAUAAACGGAUUGGACAAGGGACUCCUUGAAGGUUCAAGUGAGAGGUUAGAGAUGUUGUUAAGUUUGGGACCAGAAGUGCGACUAAUUAGUGUUGCUGGAGCGACCGGAUUAAAAUUUUACAACACGGAUUUUGGAUGGGGAAAUGUCGAGAAGGUGGAGCUCACAUCCAUAGAUAGAACUGGAGCGUUUUCAGUGUUGGAUAUUGGAAAUGGAAAUGACCGAAGGACUGAAAUUGGCGUGGCUUUGAAGAGGCCUGAAAUGGAAUCUUUUGCUUCUUUUUUCUGUAAUGGCGUAGAAGUUAUGCCAUUCAAGCAAAUUCAAUGAAAAGAAAGAAGAGAAGGUUUUCUGUGUGAGAUUGGUUUUUGUAUUUUCAGUUCAAGCUCCAUAUCAAUUACCUAGUUUGGUGCUAAAUAAAGGAGACUAUCCUAGAUGUCAUGUUAUGUUCAAGCAUUGCUAAAUAUGAUUUCUGUAGAACUUAUAUUUUUUUUUUUAAAGUGAUAAUUUAAUUUUUAUUGAAACAAAAUGAUUUUCCAGUAAAUGUUUUCAUUUUGUUAUUAAUUUUAAAAAACAUAAUAUUUUUCUAUGUCAUUUAUUUAAUAAAAACCAAAAACAUUAUUAUAAAAAUUGAUGUACCCAAAAAAAUCAAAAUGAUUAAAUAAAGAUAAAAAAUAUACAUCACUAAUUAAAAUCUUUUUAUCUCGUUAAUAUACUCAAUUGUUUUUUUUUUAAAUCUUCACUAAAAGUUUUAUUUUUUAAACAACAUUCUAUCAUCAUUUCAAAAGAAAAUUUCAAUUCUCAAAAUAUAACACCCUAAUGAUUUUAAUGCAAAUAUAAUAAAAAAUACAAUAAUAUUAAAUUGUUUAUGCAUUCUCGUGAAGAACUCUCAUUAAAUCCCAACCAAUAAUAUUUGCAAAUAGUUGGUUCCACUGUUAUCCAUUGUUCCCAGGAAAAAAAAGGUUGAAUAAAAUAACACUAACAAGAGGUUUUCGGCACCUAAUACUCGUGUGAAAAGAUUAAGUAUAAAAAAAUAAAGACCUUGUUUCAGAUUUAAGGUUUCUGUGUGAGUGUGUCAUGUUUUUAGAGAGAAAGAGAUUGGAGAGAGAAAUCAUGUUUGAAAGAGAGAAACAAGGUUUGUGAGGAAAGUGUGCAAAUUUAUAUUUAUUAAAUACAAAGACAAAAAUAUAUUUCAACUAAUUUGACUUGUCCCAUUAACCAUGAAGGAAAACCAUAUUUUUUUCAAAUCUUAGAAUGAAAAUGAAAAACAGACUAAAGUAUAGAGGUGUUUUGUAAUUAUCAUAAUAAAAUUGUCAAAAAAAUAUCAUUUUAAUAUAUUUUUAAUUGAAAAGUAUUUUUACAAAAAUAUCAUGUACCUUGUCGCACGUCCGAAAAUCCGCGCUGCAUCGGGCUUGGCGACUUUUUCGUCUUCUCGUUUGCUUUGAUUACAUCGUUGGGAGUCGCCACCUAGUAUUUAAUUGAGGGCUACUAGGAAACCCGGGUGUACUGGUCUCGUCAGAGAUUCACGGGUAAGGGACUGGUUAUGGUUAGGGAAGGUAUUAGCACCCCUAACGCACCCUACCUGAGGUAAGCUGCUUCGUGGACUUGAUGUGUUAAAGAAGUUUUAAAAUUCGGUUCAUUCAUCGAAUUUUAGAAAAUACAACUUACACUUACAUGUAAGUUCAUAAUUCUUUAUCCGUGAGCAAAUCAGAAUAUUAAAUUCUUCUUUAUUCUCGCAAUUUUAUCCUAAAAAAAACAUUCAUAAACAAAAUACACACCACACAUUCACUUUCAAGCUUCGUGGACUUGAUGUGAUUUAAAAAAUAAAAUUUUAGCCCAAUUCUAAGACUUUGAUAAAUCAGUUAUUAGUUCCCAAAAUAUAUGUAGAUACAUGUUCUACAUUUUUAUGGAAAAUACAACAUGAUUUUUAUCUGUCCUUUAGAUAUUUGUGCAUAUAAAUUAAAAUAUUAAAUUCAUUUUUUUUAUUCAAUAACAUACCUAAAAAAAAUACAAACACACACACAACUCUUUUUCUAUUAUUAUUUGUUUUUUCUUCUCUUUUCUUUUCUUUUCUUUUCUUUUUUUUUUUACAUCCACAUUUACACCAAGUACAAAUUAUAAAAAAAAAAACUCAAAAUUACACAAAUAUUACAUUACACAAUUUGAAAAUUACAAAAUAAUCCAAAAAAUCAGGAAAAACAACUCUGGGAUGCAUUCUGGGUCUGCCUGAACAGUAGCGGCGCAUCUCCCCACGCGCCUCCGCCAUUGGCGGCGCGUGGAUUCACGCGCCGCUGCUGACAAUGACCGGAAAUGGGCAGAUCUGCCCUGCUUUCUUCUUCCCUUCCCUUCUCUGCUGGCUGUGAGAACCACAGUUACCUGCAAAGGUAAAAACACACAUGCAAAGCUUCCGAUUCUUUUUCCCUUUUUUUUUUUAGAUCUACGCUCUCUUGUCUUCUCCUUUUGGUUUUCUGUUCUUCCCUUCUGCAGGUGGCGGACGGCUCUGAGGUCAGGGUGUCUCUGUGAGCGGCUGGAGGAAGGUGAGCAGCGGCUGGUUUCUGUGGGCGCCGCCGUAUGGGGGCUGUCGCUGGAGGGCAAAUCUGCGAACGCUGCUGGAGGGAGAAGACGGACCGCUCCGAGUCUGUGGGCGAUGCUGCUGCUGACGGCGAAGACCAGGAAGAAGACAGCGGGGGCUGACGUUGUGUUCGGCUUGAGGAAGAGAGCUUGUCCGUGGGUGAGGGGGGAGUGAGCGGCUGCUUAGGUGAGGGGGGAGUGAGCUUGUCCGUGGGUGAGGGGGGACGGCGGCUGUCUUCAACAGGGAAAGGGAGGCUUCGGCUGAGGGGAGAAGACUGGGGUCCGUCUGGUCAGAAGAGGAAGGUCGGCUGAGGGAGAAGAGAAAAAAUCAAAAAAGGGGGGGGGGCUGGCCAGGCGGCGACUGCCUUCUGGUGAGGGAGAGAAAAAGCUAAGCUUUUAGGGUUUGUGUUUUUUUGUGUUGCCUCUCCCCCAAAUCUCAAAAUGGCCCCCCUUUGGUUUUGAGUUUUGGACCUAUAUUUAUAGGUAAAAUGUUGUCCGGACUCAAAAUUGGUCCUUCAAUUUUUUUUUUUGUAAAUUUUGAUUUUUCUUGUUUUUUCUUGUAUUUUUAAAAACGAGCAAUAUCAACGUUGACUCAAAGAGAAAAAUCAAGGAUUUUAAAAACAACGCGUGAAAAUUCGAACGCAUUCGAAAACUUCUGAAAAUUUAAAUUUUUUUUUAGACGACGUUGAAAAUGCUAAAAACGAUGCAAAUAUAUAAAAACAUAUUUUUUUGGAUUUUCGUUGUUUUUCGCUAUUUUUGGAUUUUUUCAAAACUUUUAUCAAAUAGGUGGGUCAAAAAUUGAGUAGCAACAGAUGCCCCCUCUUUACAAUGCUUACGAAGCAAAAUUCCUCAAUGUUUUGCAUAGUAAGCUUUGUAAAGAAAAGAAAAAGAAAAUGAUCUCAUUAUCUUGGGCAACUGCCCCUUUUAAAGAAAAAGUGGUCUAUUUUCACGGGCGACCUGCCCACACAUACUCAUUAUGGUCUAUUUUUAGGGGCGACCUGCCCACACACUCACACGGGUCUAUUUUCACGGGCGACCUGCCCACACAUACUCAAAGUGGUCUAUUUUCACGGGCGACCUGCCCACACACUCACACAAUGGUCUAUUUUCAAGGGCGACCAGCCCACACAUACUCAAAGUGGUCUAUUUUCACGGGCGACCUGCCCACACACUCACACUGGUCUAUUUUCACAGGCGACCUGCCCACACAUACUCAAAGUGGUCUAUUUUCAAAGGCGACCUACCAUUUUGAUUGGGUUUACCUGAGAUCCCAUCUGGCGAUCUAACAAGAACAAAAAUUGGUGUGUAGCUCGGUCAACCUGAAAUCCCAUCUAGCGAUUCCCUUUAACCAAAGCUAAAUUCUGCAUGGUUAGGCUAAACUGAGAUCCUUUUGCCGAUCCCCUUUAACCAGAACCAAAACUCUUGUGUGCGAUUAGGAUAGACUGAGAUUCCUUUCGCCAAUCCCCUCUAACCAGAACCGAAACUCUUGUAUGGUUAGGAUAGACUGAGAUUCCUUUCGCUAAUCCCCUCUAACCAGAACCAAAAUCUAUGUGGUUGGGCUGAACUGAGACCCCUUCGCCGAUCCCCUUCAACCAGAACCAAAACUCCUGUGUGCGGUUAGGAUAGACUGAGAUUCCUUUCGCCAAUCCCCUCUAACCAGAACCGAAACUCCUGUAUGGUUAGGAUAGACUGAGAUUCCUUUCGUCAAUCCCCUCUAACCAGAACCAAAAUCUGUGUGGUUGGGCUGAACUGAGACCCCUUCGCCGAUCCCCUUCAACCAGAACCAAAAUCUGUGUGCGGUUAGGAUAGAUUGAGAUUCCUUUCGCCAAUCCCCUCUAACCAGAAUCGAAACUCCUGUAUGGUUAGGAUAGACUGAGAUUCCUUUCGCCAAUCCCCUCUAACCAGAACCAAAAUCUGUGUGGUUAGGCUGAACUGAGACCCCUUCGCCGAUCCCCUUCAACCAGAACCAAAACUCCUGUGUGCGGUUAGGAUAGACUGAGAUUCCUUUCGCCAAUCCCCUCUAACCAAAACCAAAACUCCUGUAUGGUUAGGAUAGACUGAGAUCAGAACCAAAAUCUGUGUGUGUAGCUCGGUCUACCUGAAAUCCCAUCUGGCGAUUCCCUUUAACCAAAGCUACGUGAGAUCCCAUCUGGCGACCUCCUUUAACAAAAACCAAAAAAUGUAAAAAGUGGUCUCAUUGUAAUGGGUGACCUACCCAGAUGAAAGAAUGUUAAAAACGGUCUCAUUAUGAUGGGUGACCUACCCAAGUGGAAAAAAUGAUGGUCUCAUUGUGAUGGGUGACCUACCCAAAGAAAGAUGGUCUCAUUAUGAUGGGUGACCUACCCAGAGAAAGAUGGUCUCAUUAUGAUGGGUGACCUACCCAGAUGGAAAAAUGUGACUUACCUGGCAAAAAGACUUGGCUGGAGAAGUCUUGACAGGAUAAGGUUGACAAACUGCGCUUCCUGAUUACAGGGUUGACUUGAAGACCCCUCUUGAUGACAGGGUUGAUCUCCUCGUUUCUUUGAGAUUCCCCUACUAGCAGGGUUCAUCUCAUUCUCUUCUCGUUCCAGGAUCUAAACCAAUUCUUUGUUAUCAUCAACUCAAUGAUUCUUUCUUUGUCCACAAUCUUGCUGGACUUCAUUGAGGAUCUUCCUGUAACAAUCACAAGUAUGUGCAGUGCUUUGAGGUUAGAUGGCAUGCAUGCAUCCUUACCUGAUUUGAAAUAUAGGUCCCCCCCUCUUUGAUGAUCCAUUGUUAUGAGGUGCCUUUGUUUGCAUUCCAAAGCUUUCUUUGUUCUUUCGAUGCAUUUGCGUGCUAGCCUUCUACUCAAAUGCAAGUACAAUGCCCAUCUUAGGCUGUCCACGGUGAUUACUACUCUCGUUGUUUAUCAAGCUGGACUCUGCCCCCAAGUGUGGUGUUGCUUGAUUCAUCAUGAAGGAUUUUCUCUUUUGGAUUCUUCUAAGAAUUAUCCUCUGAUUGGUUGUGUGCAUCAUGCCAACACCCAUCAAAAUGGUCAAUCAAUCAUGAACUUACUUCCAGCUAAAACAAUACUUUUCAAGUAUAUGUUAUCAUCAACCUUCUUGGAACUGUCAGGUCAUCCAGACAUGGAUCUCAUACCUUGCAGUAAAAGCCUCAUCGUUGUUAGCUCAAUGUUUUUCUCCAUGGAUUCCUCUCAGUUUGUCAAAUCAAAUCAUGAAAGGAAAUGCAUUGGCAUCAUCAAUGAUGUUCAUCACCCAUAUUCAUGCAGUGAAGUGCGCAUUUGAGCUUCAAAACAAAUGGUCCCACAGUCAAUCUUAGUGGGUGCAUCCUUCCAACAUUCAUUCAAAUGCAACAAUGUGAUAACAUCGCUCAAAAGUCAUAGCCAUGUUGGAGAUGAUAAACCAAAAUGAAGAUAUGAAAAUAUCCUUCAAGUGCAGCGUUGCCCAUUAAUUGCUGCUGAAGUUCACUAAAUCAUGGAUUGUCUUUGAACAACAUUGCCCCCAAUAUGAUCUGAACAUGCUCAUUCUUCUUUCUAUAACCAAAUGGCUUUUGUGAUCGCUAAGAAUGACUUUGAUGGACUUCGCCAACUCAUCGUUCGAUUCUUUCUCUGCCCCCAGCUGAUCUGAAUACCUUUUGUUUUCCUUCUCAGGGUCCACUGUAUUGACCCAGGUGGUCAACUUUUCAAGGAGUGUCAAGAAGUGUUGAUGUCAUUCUUGUCAAGGAUUUUGCAAACUCGAUCGAUAUUCUUCUUAUUUGACAAUCUUUCUAUUCUGGAAUCAACUCUCAUACUCCAAAGAUCAUGUCUAUCCAAAGUCUAGUUGUUGGAAUGAAAUCAGAGAGAUGUCAAUUUUGAAAAGUAUUUUUGGAAAUCAAGCUUGUUUGGUCAAAGAUCCAACACACGUUAUUCAAUGUAGUCCUUUGAUUGUCGUGUAUUUUGAAAACAGAAAUGACCCGUUGUAAGAUUAAAAUGACUUUUUUCAUGGUUCUUUGUGUCAGUUUUAAUCUUUGAUCUUUGGGUAUACCUUUCGAUGGUCUACGAUGAGGUGACCUUCUGUGAAUUUCAAGAAACAAAAGGCUCAAGUCAAAACUUGAGGAUUCAUCAAGAAAGAUUGUUUUCUUUUUUUUAGCACCAAUUUUAUCAGCAUGCAUAAUAACCAGUAGCUUAAUCCAUGAAGUCACGACCCUUAUGGAAAAGCUCUUCAAGUUUUGAGAGCGCCAUUUAUCAAUUCAAAUUGCUUGCUUGAUUAAAAAGGGCUUUUAAAAGCACGUAAUGCAGGCUAUGGUUCAUGGCUAUGAAAGAAAGGAAUUUCACAGGCUCAAAUGGUGUUUAAGGGUUUCAAAGACCCAGGAUCAACAUCAACUAUUCACCAACUUGUUUUCUAUUGUUGUCUUUGUAGAGGAAACGACAUAUAACCUUGUUAAUCUCAAAGAUCAGACUUCUCUUAACAUAAGUCAUAAUGCAAAUCCACCUUUCCUUAAUGAAUAACCAACCUUAAUCAUCUGAUAACAUCAUAGGCUUGAUAAUGGAAACCAAAAGUCACGUUUAUAGCUUAGUCUUUUUUCUGGUGUUGACUUUUGUUGUGUCUUUCCUUGAUUGAAAUUUCUUUUGCCCUUCCUAGACUUGAUAGGCGUUCUCCUUCCUUUAUCUUUGACUUGCCUUUAAACGAAGGCAAUUUCAACUUCUUCUUUUUUUCAAUUCUUUUUUUUUUCUUUUUUUUUCUUUUUUGUUUUCUCAUAGCCUUCCUCAAAAUUUCUUAUAUGCCCCCAGUCUAUGUGUUUUCUUUUAGCCCUCUCUCAAUCAUUGGACUUUUGUUCUAAGCCUUCCCCUUUAUCCAUUAAUUAUAUCAAUGUCUCCAACAUAUCUCUCAUCUGCCCCCAGUGUGGGGUGUGAUCCAAGUCAGGGUUUUUAUGAAAAGAAUAUUCUAUCCAGCUCAAAAUGGGACUACAAGGGAUAUAAUCUUUAGAAAGUGAAGGGAUAUCAAAGAUGGCCUUUUCUCAUUUCAAGCAAGGUCGGUUAGAACCGAUCAAUUUUGACCCCAUCCGGUGUAAUGAUUGGGACUUGUAAGAAUUAUGAUUCACGAGUCCAUAACUACCGAAUCCACUACAUGUUAUUAUGCAUACUGCUAAAACUUAGCUAUAUGAUGUGUGGUUCAGUUUCAGGAGGUAUGAGUUCAAAAUUGUUUAGUCACCUCAUGUCAUUUUCAAGCAUCGAGUCAUUUCUGUAAUCAAAACACUUUUAAUCUUCCGGAUUGAUUAACCUUUAUCGCAUGUUGGAGUUUGAUCAAAAUAUUUUGUCAGAAUGAAAUGCUAAACAUCUUUGGAUUUCAAAACAACAAAGAGACAAAAACAAGACAUGUUUCGUUAAAGGAUGAGAUGUGAUCCCAAAACAAAAUGCAGAAUUCCAUAACAAUAUGAUUGACAAUUCAUCGCCAUUCUUGAAUCAGCUUUUCUGGCAAUAUCUGUGUUUUGCCAAGCACUUUCGAUCACAUGUCAUUCUGAAGAUGUUCGGGGGAUAAUAUAGCCAAUGACACUCUCCUUCACAAACUCUACUUGUCUCUUGCUCACUGACUUCCGGACUCGCUUCUUGAAAUUCUUGCAACUGUUCCAGUAAAUGGCUGAGUACCCCACCAUGACAUCACAUCUCUUGUUCGGAUUAUACCACCUAAAAAAUGGUAGUUGCAUGGGAUUUGUCGGAGUCAAGCAAAAAUCUGGAAUCUGGCAGAUGCUGGUAAAUAAACUCACAUGACAACUGUUCAAUUGAAAUUCUUGCAGCAAUUCCAUUGAAAUGGCCGAGGACCCCACCAUCACAUCACAUCACAUCACAUCUCUUGUCUGGAUUAUACCACAUGGCAAAUGAAUGUCUAUCUUUGGCAAAGACAUUGGAGUAGUCGAUGAUACAACGAGACUUGGCUAGACCACAUAAUUAAGGUUUCCCACCGUCAGAGUCUUCCUUUGAUUCAUCUCUCAUCAUUGUUCUGGAAUCCUUGGCAGAACCUUCAAUCUUUCCCAUCUUGAUAGCUUGUUCAUUUUUUUGGCAAUUCAUACAACUUCAUGUCAAUCUUCCAAUGUUAUUGUUGUUGUUUUAGGAUUGUUGGAAACCUCUCAAUAGCUAAGGAAUCCUGGUAGUGCAUAAAAACAAAAACGUGUGGAAUCACACAUUGUCAAAACUGGAAGAGAGCCCGAUGAAUCUAAAGCUCCUCUAUCUCCUCUUCGAUUCCUCACAGACAAUGGAACAAACAGACAUCUGUAAAGGGAGUUCUGCUCUGUUAAAGUUUCAGUCUUCUUCAUGUUGUUUAGUCCAGGUUUGUCUUUUCUCCCUUCUUUUGCGUUGUAAUGUCGAUACUGGUAGGGGAAAAUUGUGGACAAUCUGAAACCACUGCAUCCCUUCUUGGGUUUCCCACUUGCAGACCCAUAAACAGAUUUCUGCUGAGAAAGCUCUGCCACGUUGAAGUUUGAUGUCUACUCAUGUUUUUCAGACUAGAUCUGACUCUUCUCCCUGCUACAAUGUUUUGCUGGUGCCACUGGUGGGAGAAAUUUUCAAAGCAUGUGAAACUACUACAUCCCCUCUUGCAUUCCCCACAAAUAAAUCUUUACAGAGAGCUCUGCAACGUGGAAGUUCAGUGUCUAAUCCUGUUGCUGAACUGGAAUUGAGCUCACAAUUGUGGUAACUUUAAAGAAGACUAAUGCACCAUGCAUAUGAGGCUAGUAGUUAUUUGGUUCCAUUAAAAGAUGUGGAGGCGAUGAAAAAUUAACAGUGCAACUGAACAAGAGCAAAGGUUGUCAUUAGCUGAUGACUAAAAGCAUUGUUGUUGCUGUUCAUGACUGAAAAGGAGAGGUACAGCUUCAAUUAGACGUGAAUAAGCAGUGUUCCCACAGAAGACUGUGCAGACAUUCUCUUUCCAUUUGAUGCUCAACACUUGUUCGAGCAAAUCUGAGUCUAGCUACUUCACCUUUGAUGCUCUCAACCUCAAUCUGAUAAUGAGCCUCUAUCCAUAAUCUUUCUUCCCUUCCAUCAUCUUUCUUCCAUCACGUGCAGCACAGCUUGUGCGAGGGACCUACCUUUCAACCCGGUACAUGCAUGAUAAAUGUAUGAAUAUGUAAUCUAUAUGACGAACUCGCCCUUCGAGGGGUGACAUAUGAUCGCAACUCUUGCAUGAUGAAACAAGAAUCUUGAUUCUUGCACAAACUCUACAAUGAAAAUUUUCUGAGCGACGAUCAUUGUGUCACCCAUAAGUCUGGAGUUCAAGAUGCUUCAAGAAGGGCUUGCUUGGAUGCAAAACAAUGUCUACGGAGCAUACAUCCUAAAGACAGUUCUAAUCCUUUUUAAGUGGGACAAAAGGUAGGUUUACUACUUGGUCUCUAAAAAGGGUCUCUCGUUGUCCCAGUGAUUACCCUCUUGAAGGCAAUAUAGGGGCUUGUAGGCAAUGAGAUGGCACGUGUCCAACUAUUACCAGUCUAAGCACUCAACGAAGAGUUGGGGUUUACACAAACUUAAACCUUGACUAAAAUCAUAAGGUAAGCUGCUAGUCCCCCUCCUAACCUGAAGCUUGUGUGUGCUUUAAAAAAUUACACUAUGUGAUGCAUGAGACAAUUCUACAAAAUGCAUGGAUAAAACAAAAAUAAAAUAGGACAAAAUUGUAAAAACAUAAACGCAUCAAAAACACAAAGCUUAGUCCAAUAAUGUUGAAAACAAUACCUUCCCCAGUGGAGUCGUCAUUCUGUCGCACGUCCGAAAAUCCGCGCGGCAUCGGGCUUGACGACUUUUUCGUCUUCUCGUUUGCUUUGAUUACAUCGUUAGGAGUCGCCACCUAGUAUUUAAUUGAGGGCUACUAGGAAACCCGGGUGUACUGGUCUCGUCAGAGAUUCAUGGGUAAGGGACUGGUUGUGGUUAGGGAAGGUAUUAGCACCCCUAACGCACCCUACCUGAGGUAAGCUGCUUCGUGGACUUGAUGUGUUAAAGAAGUUUUAAAAUUCGGUUCAUUCAUCGAAUUUUAGAAAAUACAACUUACACUUACAUGUAAGUUCAUAAUUCUUUAUCCGUGAGCAAAUCAGAAUAUUAAAUUCUUCUUUAUUCUCGCAAUUUUAUCCUAAAAAAAACAUUCAUAAACAAAAUACACACCACACAUUCACUUUCAAGCUUCGUGGACUUGAUGUGAUUUAAAAAAUAAAAUUUUAGCCCAAUUCUAAGGCUUUGAUAAAUCAGUUAUUACUUCCCAAAAUAUAUGUAGAUACAUGUUCUAUAUUUUUAUGGAAAAUACAACAUGAUUUUUAUCUGUCCUUUAGAUAUUUGUGCAUAUAAAUUAAAAUAUUAAAUUCAUUUUUUUUUAUUCAAUAACAUACCUAAAAAACAAUACAAACACACACACAACUCUUUUUCUAUUAUUAUUUGUUUUUUCUUCUCUUUUCUUUUCUUUUUUUUUUUCUUACAUCCACAUUUACACCAAGUACAAAUUAUAAAAAAAAAACUCAAAAUUACACAAAUAUUACAUUACACAAUUUGAAAAUUACAAAAUAAUCCAAAAAAUCAGGAAAAACAACUCUGGGAUGCAUUCUGGGUCUGCCAGAACAGUAGCGGCGCGUCUCCCCACGCGCCUCCGCCACUAGCGGCGCGUGGAUUCACGCGCCGCUGCUGACAAUGACCGGAAAUGGGCAGAUCUGCCCUGCUUUCUUCUUCCCUUCCCUUCUCUGCUGGCUGUGAGAACCACAGUUACCUGCAAAGGUAAAAACACACAUGCAAAGCUUCCGAUUCUUUUUCCCUUUUUUUNNNNNN
rnacentral:lncRNA from 1 species